AUGACUUUGAAGUUCAACCAAUACAAAUAUCUGAUAAAACACACUUUCAAAUAUACAAACAUAACUAGACCUAUCCGGAACGCAUUAGACAUUCUCUCCGCGUGAGAGGUUUUCCCUUUUUUACAAUGAGGGUUCCUUCUCGCCUGUGUGCGCAGUAGUUUCCCAGUCCUUCAUCCCCCUCAGCCGCCGGCCCUAGCUGAGGCUAGAGUCGGUGGCUCUCUUCUUCCCCUAGUUCAUUUUUCUUUUUCUAGUUGUUAGCUUCUUUCCCUGCGCUUUCCGCUGGGCAUCUCCCUGUGUUUUCAAUUCCCAAUCCUCACCUAUCAAAUUUGACUCCCUUUCCCCCGUUCAAAACCUAAUCCAUCAGUUUCGAUCCCCUUUCCCAUCCUCCACCUUCAUGUUUUUACUCCUGUCUCUUCCUAUCUUUCCCUCCACCCCACAUAUCUGCAGUCACUUUCCUUCAACGCGUUUUGACGCGAUUCACUCGGGAAGUGCGUAGAGUUCCGGCGCAGGGGUUUACACCACCACCUUCGGGAAGUGCGUUUUGCUCCGGCUCGGGUGUUCACACCACCGCCUCCCACGGAUUUGUCUUCGGUGGCUUUUUUUUCCUUCGGUGACUUUGUUGCUGGUGGGUUAUUUCUCACUAGCUUUCUUUGGUUUGUGGUUGCUGUGCCGUUCUAUGUGGUGCUUUGUGGUUGUUGUUGAAGUCGUUGUUUCUAUCAUUUUUGCGGAUUUGGAUGGCUGGUUUUAUGUUUCCUGGCGAUGCUUCGGCGGCGGCAGCUCUUCCAGGAUUGUAGGUUUUUUUGUUUCUUGGGCUCGAAACUUUGUUUUGGGGGUCCAUAUUGGGCCUCUUCUGUUGUAAUUAAGCUGGGUUGGAAAUAAAUUUGACAAAAAAAAAACCUACUCCUUGGAUAAGGAUUGCACUGCCAACUGAAGAGUCCAAAUGUGAGAUGAAUUCUCGUUGAGUCUGACUAGGUCUAACAGUAGCUUCUCUGGUUCCCAAUUUCCUAAUGGGUAUAAUUACAGGAGCUGGAAUCAUGGUAAUGAGAUACAUUUAUGGCGCGUUUACUAAUCCGUAAUCAGAUUGAGAGGAAUUGAAUUGAGAAUGAAUUGGAUUGAGGAGGAAUUGGAAUGAGGUGGAAUCAGAAUUAGAUUUAUGUUAAAGUUGUUUACCAAAACUGACUGAAAUCGGAGUAUAAAUGACAUUGAUCGAUAUAAGCGGUUUACUAAUUCAUAAGAAUCGGAAUAAAGCUUAAUGUAAUUACUAAAGUACCCCUGUUUAACUAAUAUAUUUAUAUGCUAAUUAUUUUUAGUAAAACUUUUACUCUUCCAUUUUUUUAAUUUUUUAGAAAGAAUAAUUUUUUUUUAUUUUUUAGUAAAACUCUUGGCACAAAUUUAAUAUGAAAGAAUAUUUUUUAUUUGCUUCUACAUGUUAAAGAAGACUCUUAAUCACCCUAAACUUUAUUAAAAAUAUCAACAUAAAGUAAACUUCAUAACAAUUACUUCCUCUUCUCUCUCUCCCUCUCCCCAAUCUUUCUUAGCAGCUGUGUCUCCUCCCUCCUCUCCUCCCCCAUCCUCUUCUCUCUCACCCACUGGGGCAACCCCAAGAGAUGCCGAUGAAAGAGCCCACCUCGGAUACGGAAGGAAGGUAUGGAGAUUGUGCUGCUAGAACCAAGGUGCGAAGCACCGAACCAAAGCCGAAUAACUCCCUCCCCCCAAUCUUUCUUAGCCAGCCGUCUCUCCUCCCUCCUCUCCUCCCCCAUCCUCUUCUCUCUCACCCUCCACCGCCUCAACUCUCCCCCACACCCACAAGAUUGUCCUCAUCGCCAACCACGUUAUGCUCCCCCUCUUAUUAUGCGAAGUAGAUCAGCACAACCCGCAAGGGCUGCAAAUCAGUUAUUCGCCACCAACGGCAACCCAUUCCACCAUCUCAGUCUUCGAAGCCCAUCCGGGCACAAAAUCAUCCAGAACCUUGAAGGGGUAGGUAGGAGAUACGGGGGUAGUUUGGGUAUAAAGGUUGGAUUCCUGAAGAGUCUUCUCCCCGGAAUCCAAAUACCACCUCUAUCUGGGGGAUCCAAUUCCGGAAGAUUAAGGAAAUCGAUUCCGGAUUUUAAGUGAGUCCCACUUACUUUUUCAUUCCCUAAAGGUUAGUAAAUGUGAGAAUGCGAUUCCUUUUCUUUUCAUUCCAUUCCUGAUUGGGAAUACGCCAUUAAAUAUUAGGAAAACUAAUGAAAUGGUUUGAAAAUUUUGAGUUUUAAUGAUAAGGCCAAAAUAAAGGGUAAAGUGAAUUGUACAUUAUUGACUUUUUAGUGUAAAAAUGUGAUUUUUCGUUAAAAUGAACAUGAGCUUUUCGUUAAAAUUCCCUUAAAUAUUUGAUAAGCUUCCUUUUCUCUUUCCCAUCAUGUAUAUCGUUCCCGGUGUCUCCUCAAUUAAAUGGUUGUGCAUGCAGAGCAUCUUGAUGAUGACCUCGGGUUUCUUGCUUGCUACCAGAUCGUUCCUGGUGUCAUCUUGUCCUAGAUUUGAUUUGGAGCAUGAGACUAGAGAAGAGGAAGAAAGGUAAAUAGUCGGCGUUCACUUUAAGAAAUAGUCGAUGUUUAUUUUUUAUGUUGGGCUUCUCCUUAUGAUUCUGCAAAUUUCUCAUGACUCAACAGGAGCAUGAUUCGCGAAAGUGAGUACGUUGAAUUUACCUCCUCCGCAGCACAAAGUUUACCCGAACAACUUGUUUGAGGAUAAGGAGGUCCCUCAGGAAGCAACAACAUGAAAAAUUAAAGCUUGAGGAAUGGGAGAGCCGGAGGACUCGGAAUCAGAUUUACCCUUUGUUGUUACAUAAGGAGUGGCUUAGGCAAUCAUUCAAGGAUUUACCUCCCCCGCUGAGCGAUGGUUAUCCAAAGAACCUAGGAACAAACCUCAAUGGCUGGUAUGCUUUUGCAUUUGGUUUGUUGUUGUACUUUGAGAUAUUAGAUCCCUGUAGUUUUUCGUAAACAUGAAAUAAUAUAAAUGGCAUUCACAUGCACACAGUUAUCAUAUAAACACAUACCAAUGUUAGCAAGAGAUACUAGCUUAGGCGCUCAAUCUGUCACUGUUUUUUCGUCAAACCACAUAUCCACCAUUUUAAUUUGCUUGUACUUGUGCAUUUUCAAGGCUGUUUUUUUCCAUCCAAUUAUGAAAUUGCCAUUGAAAGUUCAUAUUUCCUGCGAUGUCACAAUCAAACAUUUCAUCCUCACUUACAAGUUCUUGCAUGAGUUUGGAAGUUUUACUUUCUAAAAGUCUUUUUAUUUAUUUAUUUAUUUAUUUUAUAUGUUGUAUGUUGUGAUUCUCCUUAUGAUUCUACAAAUUUCCCUUGAACUGCUGUCAUGAGGAAGAGAUGAAAGAAAGAAUGCUUAAAGUAGCUUUGAGACCCCAGGUAGGCCAAGCAUAUUUGAAGAAAGUGACUGAAUUUGUGAUGACGGAAUCCAAAAACAGAGAGGCAGAAGUGGUUUUGGAAGGUCUUUUGGAUGCAAUGGAUUGGUAUUCUGACAAUCAACAAGAGACUGCCAGAUCAGCCCUUCAUGUGGUAAUGCAGAACUUAAUGUUGCAUAAGAAGCUUGAGAAAUGGGGAGAGCUAGAAGACUUCGAGUCCUUAUAGGAUUCGGAAUCAGAUUGACCGCCUUGAUGUUGCAUAAGAAGUGGCUUAGGCAAUCAUUCAAGGAUUUACCUCCCCCGCUGAGGCAAGAGUUGGUGAAUCGGGAGGAGGAGCUGAAAGGAAGACAAAUGUUAAAGCUCAAAGAAGUGACAUCUCCUUUAACAACCUAGAUGACUGAGAAGACAAAUGUGUCUGAAGUUAUAGACACUAUGAAACAGCUUGUUAAGAACGCUAAAUUAGCUGAUGUUGAAGUUGUGGGAAAUAGUAUUAGAGCAGGCGCAGAAAGCCAGCGAAGUUAUUCGCCAAGUAUACGAUUUCAACUUAUUAGUUUGUCUUCAUUCUUAUGCCUUAAUAUUUCUAAGUUUGGUCCUUGUACUUUGAGAUAUUGGAUCCCUAUAGUUUUCCGUAAACAUUAAAAAAUAUAAAUGUCAUUCACAUGCACACAGUGAUCAUAUAAACACAAACCAAUGCUAGCAAGACUUUGAGAAAGUAAAACUUCCAAACUCCUAUGCAAGAACUUUUCAAUAAGGAUGAAAUGUUUGAUUGUGACAUCGCAUGAAAUAUGAACUUUCAGUGGCAAUUUCAUAAUUGGAUGGAAAAACGUACAAGCAAAUUAAAAUGGUGGACAUGUGGUUUGACAAACAUCCAGUGACAGAUUAAGGGUCUGAGCUAGUAGCAUUGGUUUGUGUUUAUAUGAUCACUGUGUGCAUGUGAAUGCCUUUUAUAUUUUUUAAUGUUUACUGAAAACUAUAGGGAUCUAAUAUCCCAAAGUACAAGGACCAAACUUGGAAAUACUAAGGUAUAAGAAUGAAGACAAACUAAUAAGUUGAAAAACUUGGCGAGUAACUUCGCUGGCUUUCCGCGCCUGCUCUAAUACUAUUUCCCAUAACUUCAACAUCAGCUAAUUUGACAUUCUUAAUAAGCUGUUUCAUAGUGUCUAUAACUUCAGACACAUUUGUCUUCUCAGUCAUCUAGGUUGUUAAAGGAGAUGUCACUUUCUUGAGCUUUAACAUUUGUCUUCCUUUCAGCUCCUCCUCCCGAUUCAUCAACGCUUGCCUCAGUGGGGGAGGUAAAUCCUUGAAUGAUUGACUAAGCCACUUCUUAUGCAACAUCAAGAGGGUCAAUCUGAUUCCGAAUCCUACAAGGACUCGGAGUCUUCCAGCUCUCCCCAUUUCUCAAGCUUCCUCAAGAACAACUUGUUUUUUCUUGUCAAUUUGUAUGCAUAGAAAGCGGCCAGCAAAAUAAGAAUCAGAGAUGAGAGCCAACCACCGCUUGCACACACGCUUAUUUCGACGAGCGUAUUUGUAAGGAAGUCGGCAAAGGAUUUCAACCAAUACGCCAUCAGGCAGAUUAUUGAUGAGGAAUUUUGAUGACAACUGCUCAUCAGAUUCAGAAGAUCCCAUGGCCGCAGCCGCAAGAAUUGACGACCAACUGCAAUUCUAAUAUGCAACCCAACACUGAAUCUCUCCUACUUACAUGCAGCGAAUCCGAAACCUAAUAGAAAUAGGAAAUCUAUAAAAGUUCUAAUAAGAAUCCAACAGUGAAUAUGUCCUACUUAUUUAUAUCCGUUUUAGUAAUUUUCAUUAAAUCUGACCAAAAUAUAUAAAAGAUUGGGGUGUAUUCAAUUAGGAUUUUGAGAGAUUUUAAUUCUAUUAAUGAAUAUAAGGGUAUUCAAUCAGGAUUUUAAGUGAUAAUCUGAAAUUUAAGGUGUAUUCGAUUAGAAUUUUAAGAUAGUUUAUUAAAAUUCUUAGAAAUCCGAGUGUAUUCAAUUAUGAUUUUAAAGAAGUUUAUAACAUUUCAGGUGUAUUCAAUUAGAAAUUGAUUUUAAAUAAUUUGAGAAAGUUGAGGAAUUAGAGGGAAUUGGAGAGAUUUCGUAGUAUAAUUUAAGCAUUCACAAAUCUCACCUCUCCCCAUGAGAUUUCGAGGGAAUUGAAUCAAAAUUUUAUAUGAAAUCUCUACAAAUCAAAACUCCAUAAAAAUCCAUAAAUUUAUAAAUUCAUUAAAGUAUCUCAAAUUCUCAAUUAAAUACACUCUCCAAAAUAUAUAUGAGAAAAUACAUGUGGCAGAAAAUGAGACGUCCUCAUUGAGGCCCACGGACAACUGUUUGUAUAAAACGGUGCCAACAAGGUGAGACACGAGAGUAACAACAUUUAUUAUUUGGGAUGUGAUAUUCACACAUUUUAUUUUACUUUUCACAUACUUUUUUAAUUUUCGGCAUUCAGAUUAGAUGAAUUGAAGAAGAUCAACGGACGUAAAUUAUCAAAGAUGUGUGAGAAGUAAAAUGGGGUGUGUGGAUAGCACACCCACCCCUAUUAUUAAACUAACUCCAGUGGAAUUACAAAAUCCCUCUUUUUUCCACUUUUGUUAAUUUAUUUCUUGCCAAUAUUAUCCUCGUUUCCAAAGAUUUCCAUAUGCAUCUCAUCGUAUGUUUGUAAUUUUUUAGCUAAUACAUUCAGAGUCAAAUCCAACAUCUUGACAACGCAUGUAGAUGUUUAACAAGAGUGAAAAAAAGGAGUUCGUGGAUAGUCGAACUUGAUAUCUUGAUUAAAAAGUGAACCACCGGUUUCAAAAGUUGAGCACCUUCCAAAUAAGCAUGUGCGGCAAAUAGGGCUAUAGUCGUUCAAAUUGACUGGGAACACAAUUUAAACACGUACGCCCAAUUUUUCAAGAUGCGACUGUGCUAGUAGGGUUAGGAUUUGGGCGGUGGGUAAAGGUUGAGAUUACUAGCUUAGCGACAUGAAAUCCAAAUUAUCCUACCCAAAUUAUCUGAGACAAUUAACCGGACCCCACGGCAAAAUUACACCAUGUAGGGUUUCUUCCCUCAUUUGCGCAUUCACACAUCACAUCGAUGUUAACCACACUCAGUGAUAAGAAGAUUUUUUUUAUAAAAAAAAAAGCCAUGUGUUCAAUGUGGGUCCACCAAGAGUUUUAUAUUUGGACUACCAGUCAAACGGGAUCUUCAUGCAUGGAACCAAAUCUCCUCCGGAUCCAAAGAAAUUGAGCUCACUAAUCAAUGCAUCCGAACCAUUGAAAUUUGAUUCAACGGCUAAAAAUAGGAGCCCCUCUAAAAGUUAUAAUAAUUGUAAUUGUUAGAUCAAAUUUCAAUAGUCCGGAUUCGUUAAUUAGUGGGCUCAGUUCCCUUAGAUCCAUAAGGGAUCCGGUUCGUUCAUGCAUGACUGAACUUCUUGUUCUUUCCUUUGUAACUCGCCAUGAAAGGUUGCUGAGAUAUGAGAAGGGGAAGACGGGGAUAAGUAGAAUUUGUAGGCUAGGGUUAGGGUUUAGGAAGCGGUGCACAUGAGAGAAAACCCUUAUAUGUAUUUGUUGACCCUAAAAACUAACAAGCCUACGUGGUGCGCAAGCCGAGUAAUUAAUGAGCUAACUACGUAUUUCGGUUGUAUGUGGGCAUGCCAACUUGUCGUGACACACCCCGACCAAGAUCAAGGCAUGCUGGCCGUCACAUAAGAGUGACGUAGCCAUGUGCAUAGUGCGGAAGCAAUAGAGAUAAGAAAUAUACGAAUAAUUAAAACUGAAUUACUAGAGUGCACUACUAAACAGGAAGUCAUAGGAGUUAGUUACAACAGUAAACACUUCUAAUCAGAGCAUAAUAAGUCUAUGUGCAGUCCAGUAGGACAAGUACUAGUUAUACAGUACCAAGAAUGUCCUACUAUUAUUUAGGUAGGACAGAACUGCCGACGUCCUCAAGCCACCAACAGCAAGCUUACUUAAAACCUGAAGGGGUGCAAAACAGCAAAUGUGAGUGGGCGAAAACAAAUGUUUUACAAAACAUUUCAUUUAUCAAUAUACUAACCCUUCGCUUUAAAACAUGUAUAAUUUUUCCCAGAAUCAAGAUAUAAACAUAUACAUAAUAUAUAUAUAUAUAUAUAUGAGAUCAUAUCAAUUCAAUUCAUGUUUCACAUAAUUAUAUUCAAAUGUAUGCCAUGCCAAGAUAUAACAGAGUAAACAAUUCAUGUAAGAAUAAUUUCAUAAAAAUACGAUAUGUUAGUCGGAACCCCUAAGGUAGUCUGUACGGCUGAUUUCAUAGCUCAAAGUUACUCUAGCCGGAGUCACUAUAAUGAUCUAUAUGGCAACAUACUGCACAUAAGUCGGAACCACUAAAAAAGGGUUUGUACGACAAGAUUGGGUGUAAUAUAAUUAUGCUCAAUUUUACUCUCUCAUAAUAUAAAUCGCUAGUCACCUACGAGUCAGAACCAUUAAAAAGGUCUGUACGACAAGACUGUGCACUUAAGUUGGAUCCAAAAUGAGCAUAUAGUGCAAGAGGUGACGUAAAUAAACAGGCAUGUACUUCAUAUCUCUGGCUAAAUCACAAUCACCCUAGGUAUGAGCUCAACAUUAUUCAAGCACAUAUCACAUCAUCGAUGAUUCACAUAACCAAACAUAACUUACCUGAACUUACCUGUGCCUCCACAACAUCACAUUUAUAUAUAUAUAUAUAUAUAUAUAUGUGCAAUCAUGAAAUGCAUAUUCAGAAUAUAAAAGUAUUUGGCAUAUUAUUUCAAAGCAUACUUUCCUUAAAAAUGCAUUUCUGGGAAAUAUAUCAAGUAUAUAAAUAUAUACUGAAAACAAAAGCCCACUCACUGGUAUGUCGAAGGGUCGUAGCCCCCGAGUCGCCUGUGGAUAUGUUCGUUCUUGGGAUAAGCCUCACCUAUAUGUGAAUUAACUAUAAAAACGUUAUUUUAAAGCAUAUAGGUAAAACUAGCUAAUAACUUCUCAUGCAAAGCUCAAAAUGGGUAUAUGAAUAUACCACAGUGACCUACACAACUUCAGGAACAUCCCCAUAUUUUUAGAUUAAUUUUUGGACCCUUCACGCGCGGCCACGCGCCGGCGAGCGCACAGUAAAACGUGCGGCCACGCGCAGGGAAUCCUGACGGAUUCCCUAACUGCCGUUAGGAAUAUUCCAUUAAGUCCAACGGUAACCGUCCAAACUAAUUGACGGAAUAUUCCCCUUUCUUCUCUGGUGAGUCGCCGGUCGCCGACGACUUUGCCGGUUUCUGGGUAAAACUUUAAAAUCACUAUUCUCCUUUGAUUCUUCACCAUUUUUCAUGAAAUUGGUACCAAAAUGAAGCUAAUAACAUGUAGAAUCACAUUAUACAAGUUUCAACGCUUAAAUUCUACUAGAUUUUUCCUAAGAAAGGUCGAUAGCUUGGCUUACCUAGAAACACAUCGAUCUCAGUCCUCCGACGUCCAAAUCCUUCCAACGAAGUACCUCUAGACUCGUGAGGACCUCCUUAAGCUUCCUAUGUUCUUAGAAUUCCUUGAAACACAAGGUUUUACGUGUGCAUGAACAAUGCACAAAAUCGGGGUUAGGGUUUCUCGGGUUUUCGAAACAUUCACGUCCAAACAAGGGUAUCAAUGUACUCAAAAGGUUACAAUGAGCAAGAACCUUACCUUUAAAGCUUCAAUCCGUGCCUGAAAGGGAAAGUUCAAAGCUUGUCCGUACGAAAGAGGGAAGAGAGAGAGUCCAAGAGAUGAGAGAGAGAGAGCACAGGAAUGAGAGAGAAGGUAGGUGGGUAUGUGUGGUCCAAAAGCCACCAAUCAUAACUAAGAGAAUACUUAGUUCUAAUUGGUUCCAAAAAAUAGAGGAAUAUAGCUAAUUGGUCCACACUCUUAAGUAUAACCCAUAGCAUCCAUAAUAAUUCUCAAUGUCCAAGGGUAAUUCCGUCAUUCCACAUUGUCGAAAAUUAUAUAUUUGAGACGGGCUGUGACACGUCGACCGACCUGGGCCGAGGAGUAAAAUAUAUUGAUGUUGCAUCGGAUGCGCUGCUGACUUCUCGAUCUUGCGAUUGUGGCCGAGGAAAGAACACGUAUCGGCCUUCGGGUUCUAGAGUCUGAAGACAAGGCUGUUAGUUCUACGAAGUUCACAAAUCGUCGGUGUCGAAUUUGGUCACGGUGAUUAUAUUCGUAAGAGUAUAAGUACGCCGAAUCGACACUAGACUAUAUGGACACAAGUAUUCAAAGCAAAUGUACCUUUUAAUAGUAAAUGUGGUUCGGCCGUCAGAAUGUCGAACUCUAAGUCCAACUUGUGAGUAUCCAAUCACAAAAUAACUCGGCGUUCAACGCACCAAGUCUAGUGAUUCGUAACACCUCACUUCGCCGAAAAUGAUCGUAAGAUGACCUCUGCCAACCGAGGCUUGGGUAGAAAACCAGUCGGCCUUGACGCAGUGCUGUUUAUCCAAACUGAAGGUGUUUCGCAGUCGACUGAUUCUACGUCGGCAGUGCUGUUUAUCCAAACUGAAGAUGUGUUGGCGAAAAAGAAACUAAAAAUCUCAAGGUUGUUGAGAGGUUUCGCGUAGAGCGAGGGUUUGCGCAUGGCAGUUUGUGUGUUGAGUUGGAGGGCCCUUUUCGUUGUUUGCCGCUUUGUAUUUAUAGCCAAGUUUCCUUGACCGCCAAUCCAAAAGAGUCCUUUCCCGACUAUACUCCAAAAAUAAUAUCAAAACAAUUGAUAUUAUCUUUAAUAUAUUUCGGCAAAAAUCUUCUUAGUCUCCUUAUGCUUGUAGACUUAUAUGCUUGUAGACUUAUACUAAAGGAGCAACAAAUGUCCUGUUGAAACCCUUUCACAUGGCAUGCAUACUGUGAUUCCAUCAUCAAUUCUUAUCACUUUAAACUCAUUUGACAACACCCAUCACCAUGCAAAAAGGCCUAGCCUACCUAGGUUUCCUACCACAUCAUCACAUCACCAAAAAAAAAAAAAAAAAAAACCUAGCUUUCCUAGGCUCUCAUCAUCACCCUAAGCCAUCAUCUUUUACCAAAAAUGUCGCAUGCAUCUUGAAUGCUGAUGUUCGUUUUUAAUUAUCACCAUAUUUUAAAUGGAUAAUAUCCUGACAUGCAUGCUUCAUUAUCUGAUGCCGUGUAUAUCUGUCAACCAAAAUUGAUCUAAACCACAUAUCCACAUCCAUAUCAAUUUGAAUUGUGCCGCAUGUUUCCAGCUUGGAGAUAUAUUAUUUCCAUAAGAAAAUGUCAAGAUAAAUCAUUAUUAAAAGAUAAUCAUGAUAAAAGAAACCAUAAUGUUAUCUUUUAACCUUACUAAAAUUAUCUUCACUUUUCCAUCGACAGUGUGGAGGUAUGCUUACUCAACGGUCUUGAUUACUCGGGGCCGAUGGUGUAAUUUUAGGUCCAAACACUAUCAAACUGUAAUUAGUAUGUAAAAAUACUUGACUGUGGCAUGUAGCUGAACAGUGUUGAUAAGUAAUCAUAUGAUUUGUAAUAUAAUACCAUCUAAAAACUAAGUGCUUUUGCAAUGAAGUUUUGGAGGCCAUAUAAGGUUUAAUAUUUGAGUCAUCUUACGCACAAAUAUUGAAGUUGUAUAAUGUAUACCAAGUCCAAAGAUUUUAAUUAUACCAAGAUGAAACCAAACCAACUUUCUAGUUUUGUAAAUCAAAGUGACGCUUCGGUUGCCCUUGCCGAUACGACUAAAAACUUGUGCCUCAAGACAAAACAUGACCAACCUUUUGUGCCCUUCUGUUUUUUUCUGUUUUGGGUCAAAUCUGUACUUUUUCUUUGUCAAUUGCCUCUCUGCACUUAAUUAUCUUUCCAUGCUUAGCUGACUGUCAACAUCUUCAUCAUCAUAACCAUAUACUUAAAAUUUCUCCACCUUCCAUUCCCAUGUCACAUACUCUUUGGUGAAAGAAAUGAGUACAUGUUUUUGGUUGAAUUGUCAUGACAUGUCGUUCAAAGUUUAUUCAUGUCAUAAGUCUUCUACCAUGCAUGGUAUGUGAAUUCAUUUUACGUGAUGUUACACCAUCUUUGUUAGGUCUCCUUACUAUAGAUCGAUGACAUAUCAAUUAUGUCAUUCAUUCAAGUUAUAUAUAACACAUGUAUCAAUAGCAUCACAUGCUGAUAUGAUCAUCACACGCUUCAAAUUAAUUUUUUCUAAAGUACUCUUGGAGUUCCCGAUUCCAUACAUAUUUUGGAAACUGAAAGCAAAUAUAAAAAACAAAGCACGCUGCAGUUGAUAUUUACAUGGAUGUUUGCAUUCCGCAAUAAGUACAAAGGGGAGAAAGAGAGAGAGAAGGGAGCUGAAGCUCUCCAACUGGGUUUGUCGAAGCCUUCAAAAGCUCCCUUCAUACAAAAGGUGGGACGAAGAGAUCGAACUAAACCCACCAAAGAAAAUAAACAAAACGAAAUCCCAGCGUUAAAAUUAACUUCAAAAUGAUCUAGGGAUCGGUUCACGUUAAAUGAGUGAUUUCCACAAGUCAUUUUUCUUUCGUCUGCACACUUUAGACUUAAACGACAAAAAUAAACAUAAAAUGUAGAACGAGAAAAUGUGUGCGUAAAAUCGCCUCCCCGCUCUAAAUGUUCUGUCAGAAAGGUCUGAACCUCUUGGAGCCAACAGAUGGAGGACUAAUCUGAGGAACCGUGAAGCCGUCAUCCAUCCACAUUCUUCUGUUGCUGGCCUUCAUGUUUGUACCCUCCUUUGUCUCUUCGAAGCCAACGAACCCACCGCCCAUCUGUGAAUAUUGAUACGGAGGUGCUUGUGAUGCCUGUGGGACCCACAUCCCCAUAUUUUCCGACGAGAAAGAGUUCAGAUUGCUUUCCGGAUAGGUUUCCGAAAACGACAGCAUCAUAUCAUUGUCGACCUGCCAUAACCAAUAAAACAAAAUGCAAAAUGUCAGAUCCAGCAGGCUAAUUAACUAAUUGAUGACAGAUUAACAAAACUCAAAGGAGAAGUGAUUUCUGCAAACUCAUUCUCUCUUAUCGUUGUUAGUAUGAAAUAAAUCAAACGAGAAUCAAGAGACUUGAAACAAACAGAAGUGUGCAGAAAUCAUUUUCCGACCCGUAUUUGGAAAUUUCAGAAAAAAAUAGGGAAGAACGAGAUCAAUCAAUGCAAACCUUAGAGAAACCAAACGGGGUAUUAGAAAAAUCAAGAAAAUCCUCAACAUGCCAGCCCGGAAGCGUCUCUAUCAAGUACUCGGAUAUGGUACUAGUCGCACCCACCAAAUUUCCACCGCCUUUGUCGAUUGCAGCGGUUGAAGUUGAAUUCUUGACAGAAAUAGGAGGUGGGUUUGGAUUUGAAAUUGCAGGGGAGGCGGCGGAAACAGAUUUCUUGGUUGAAGGUUGAUGCUUUUUGAGAUCGGUAGAGGCGGUUUCAGAACUAGCAGUUGCUACAGUUGGCCGCGGCGGCGAAGAUUUGUAGAGGGCGGAGGUGGCGGAGAGCUUAAUACCUGUAAGAAGAUAUCGGUUGUGCUUCCGGGUGUGCUCGUUGGCGUUGUGAAUUGGAAGGUCGCACUCCCUGCACAGAAUCGCUCUGUCCUGCUGGCAAAACAAGAAGGCUCUUCUCUCCUGUAGAUGAAGAUUAAGAAACCCAAAUCAGAAAAUCGAGCGACCAUUGUUUAGAGGGUAGAGCCGUAGAGGGAGGAUAUAUACAGUAGCAAUCGAGCGCUAACAAGUCAGUAAGCUAAUACAUACCUGACAGAUAUCGCAGACGGGGAACUCCUUAGACGAGGGGUGGACGAGAGAGAAACGGUGGUGCUUGGAAACGAGCUUAUUGGCGUGGUGGACACGGUGGUCGCAGGCGUCGCAGAGGGCGGCCUCGUCGGCAGUGCAGAACACCGAAGCGUCGUCCUUGUUACACACAUCACACUGGAUCUUCAUCAGUUCUGAACUUCCAGAACAGAAAGAGAAGCUAAAUCUAAGGGAAAUAGGUAAAGAGGAAAAGGAGGCAGUGGGAGUGGAGGCUCUUUAAAGAAAGCAGAGGAUACUUAAAAGAGAACAAAUAUGAGGAGAGUAAAAAGUACCGGCGAGUAAUAAAAUAUCGACAGGGAUACUGGGAAAUCUUGGGGAACUAUUUAUGGUCCUUUCUCUCUCUCCUCUCCCUUUCUCUCUCUAACUUUAACAGAGCGAGAAUGGUGGAGUGAGCGAGUAAAAGGAAGAUGCUGAGAGGUUAGAAGGGUUGGGAGGUGGUUGCUUUAUUAAAUGGUUUUGGUCAGUGAAUAUUUAACAAAUUACAGUUGCCCCAUUUAGCUGUGAAGUGAGAGUGGGAUAAAAGCUCCAUAUAAUUUGGGGUUCGUUUGUUUACUACUUUUAGGUUCCGGUUCAAUUGUUUUUCAUUUCCGGCUUUGGUAAUUGGUUCGUCUUUUGGGCAAGCGUGUGUGUGCGAGGAAGUGACGAAGUCGGGGUAGGGUUAGGGUUAGGGUUAUGGCAAAGACCAAUGCUAAUGUGACUAAUGUGAUAUUGUUUCAAAACUAAUAUGGCAAAAUUAAAAUACGUAGUAACUUGUGAUACUAUGUGCCACUAUUACAUUGACAUUUCUGUUUUGUAUGUGUUUUUUACGUACACGAGAUCAUUUUUAUACGAUCGAGUAUGAUUAAAACUAUAAAAUUUCAAAUUUUUGUGUAAAUCGCUGAAUGAAUCACGUCAUCAUGUUGUUGUACUCAAAUUUUUUCUCCCAACAAUGGUGCAAUUUUCUACUUUUACUUAUUUCUCAAAUUGCUCUUAAUCAAUCAAUAAAUAAUUGGUUCAUCAUGAAUUCCAAGUUGAGUAAUCACAUUUUAGUUUUUAUUUAGUCUUUUGAUUAUAGUAGUUAUAUGGGACCACCUUAUUAUACCCAUGCUGGCUCGACAUUGCAUCUGAUAUCAUGUGAUCUCCAAAUCUUGGAGGAGGGUUUUGUUUAUCUGAGCAAGACCUCGAACAGCUAUUACUUUCUCACCACUCCAACAAUAACAAUUAAACAUUAUCUUAUUAAGUAGAGUCGGCUAUAUGAAUCUUAUAACGUUUAUGCAUUCAAUUUUUCGUCAAUUCUGCUAUUAGCUCAAGUACUACUACCCCGCCACUCCACACACUAAAAAAAUUAAACGUGGAAAUUCAUUUAAAUUCAUCGAAGACUGAAUAUUAACAUGAAAUACAUACAUAGAUACAUUGUGGUGGUGGGACAACACAAGAUCGAGAAGAUAUCAUGUGAUCUUACGUCUUCUUCUUCUUAUGUCUUUGGUUAUUCGAAAAGGAAUAAGGAUCUUUCAUAUAUAUAGUUCAUACCCUUAUAUAAUUAGGGGUGGGUUCGGUUUAAUUCGGUUCGGUUUUUUGCCAAAACCGAAACCAAACCGAAAUUUCGGUUCGGUUCGGUUCGGUUCAUUUUUUUUUCAGUUUUUUUCGGUUCAGUUUCGGUUUUUUGUUUUUUUUUUCUUUCAAAAAAUGAAAAACAUUGAAAUUUUAACAUAUGCAACACAAUCAUAUAAUCAAAGACAAUGAAAAUAAAUAUUUAAAGUUGAACUAAAAUCAUCAAUCAAGUCUUCCAAAGUCCAAACUAACAACCUCACAACACAAAAAUCGUACAAAUGACUUAGAAAAGUUAAAUUGUAUGAUGUUGUUCAAAGAUCAGGGUUGUUUGCUUGUAACUGCAUGUUGACAACUUGAUUAGUAAAAGUAAUGCGUGGGUGGAUUUAUUUAGUAUGUGUUGGAUUCUUUUCCAUCACAAAUUCCCUAAGUAAUCUACCCGAAAUAAAUGUUUAUGGAUUCUGUUACAUGUUAUAUAAGAGUAGAUUUGGAAAAGAAAGCUGAGACAGAAGUAGACAGUGCUAUGGAGAUGGAUGUAGGUACUUCAGGAUGAGGUUUGACUCCGGAACCUUAUAUGGGGGAUAAAUAAUAGGUUAGGGUUUAAAGUUUUUAUAAGACUUUUUUUUAAUAUUUUGAGCUUAAAGUUUGGCAACACAUUGGGUUUAGCACAUUUUAACUUACAAAUUGGGUUUAGAAAAUAAUAUCCAAAACAAAUAAUUAAAUAAAAAAAUUAAUUUAAUUAAUUCGGUUCGGUUCGGUUUGGUUCGGUUUCUAGAUCACUAAAACCGAACCGAACCAAAAGAAUUCGGUUCGGUUCGGUUUUUUUGUUCGGUUCGGUUUUUUUCGGUUUCGGUUCGGUUUGGUUUUCGGUUUUUUUUCGGUUUUCGGUUUUUUGAACCCACCCCUAUAUAUAAUUGAUUGCGAAAGUGACCAAAUUGAAUGUGCUUUUCCUUUGAGGUUGGCAUGCAUGGAAUAUAUAUGGACAGAAUAAGCUCAGACAUGAAUAUUAAACUACUGAUUGAUAGCACUCUUCAAUAAGAUUGUGUUGGGUGUAUAGAUACUAAUAUCUAGUUAGAUAAGAUCACUAAAAUCGUCACUGAAGUUCCUAUUAACUAAAAACAUUUUCAACUAUUUUAAAAACAGUUCAAAAUGAGCACUUAUUGUGGUGCUACAAUAUUAUUUUAUUGUGAAGCACUAAACAAUAGAGGUCCAUUCCAUUAUGAAAGCUAACAACUUUUUAGUAAAUUGAUUAUAUUUUUUUAAUACAUACGAUAUUAUAUAUAUAUUAAGAGAUUGAUGAAUAAGCUAAAAUUCACAAUGAACUAACCAUAAUAAUUUAGUUUAAAUUCGUUUUUUGAAGAAAAUCAAACUUAAGACUUCUCACUUAAGUACAAAUGAAAAUGAAUAAAUACCAAACUAUAGCGCAAAGUAAAUAAAAAUAAAACAUGGCAAACAUCCACUCUAAAAGAUUUUUUAUGGUUAAAAAGAGGAGGAGGGUCGGAUUACAUAUUUAAAUGAAAUACAAUAUUAUUAGCCUAUUAGGGUUCUGGUAAGUGGAGUAUUAUACAAAACAUAUUUUAUAUUGCCACCAGAUCUAGAUUAUUGUUGAAGUUUCGAGCAAUAAGCGAAUCUCGAAUCCUCUAUUAUUAUUUUUUUAUCGGGAAUUAAGGAUCAUGGGACCGCUUCGCUCUUUAAAAUUGGGGGAUGGGGUGGCUUCAACUUUGUAUCUGUGAAAUCAUGGACGUCUUUAUGGUAGGCAUGGAAAAGUAGGCCAGACACUGCCUUGAGUCUCGGCUGUCUCGACGGUUGUAUUUUGUGUAUAUGUACAUAACGAAGACAUCCCCAUGCAUGUUGCUAUCUCCCUUUUCUGGGGGCUAGUACGACUGCUGAAAGCUAUUUCUGCACCGCCGACGAACCUUGACCUAACUUUUAUCAAGCACCGAACUCGUCCUAAUACUGUGCCAGCCCCAAUAACUACAAUUUGGUUAAUUUUGCUUUUUCAUUUGGAUACAAUUCUAUGCAUCCUUUUCCCCGGAGGUUUUUUAUAUAGGAACAUUUUAUCUUUAAUUUUAUACAAUAUUUUUCUUCGAAUGGCAGUAUGGGCAGAUACCUGAGAACCCAGUUUACCCUUUGAUAUUCUAACACCACGAAGAAAAUUGAAAUUUUUAACUCUAAAACUUGGUAAUAAGUCUAAGGGAGUGACCCAACUUACCCUAACCAUAGAUUAGCCCUAAUACACACAUGCAAAAUCUCAUAGUUUUUCGACAUGAAAACAACAAUUUACAUCCUCACACAUUAUAGAUGACAAUUUGCCUAUAAAAAUAUGAACAUGAUUAUUGAUUAAUUACUACUUAAUGAAUAACUUAGUAGCAAAAGUACAUAUUCUUUUGGCAAAAUUUAUAUGAAAUUCAACUCGUUAAAGUUUGACGGUAAGAUAUGGUACUUAUGACGAGAGGGAAUCGGUCACCCAGCAGCAUCCUACCUAUUUGGGACAAGGAACGAUAUUCUUUAUGUUUUUUUUCUGGAAGAAUAUGAAGCUUUAGAGGUCUUGAGAAUUUGGAGGUUUUUGUGCAAAAUUUAGAUCGAGGCCCUUCAUUUUUUAAUACUGUAUUUUUUUUGUUAUUUUUUUUUUCAAUUUGUAUCUAUAAAAUUUAAAUACUACAAAUUAGAGCACCACUUUGAGUGGAUAAGAGUGUUUCCUGUCUUGAAAGGUCUUCAGUUCAAAAUAUGUUGCAUGGUUUUUUGUGUAAAACUUAUCAACUUUUUAAGUUAAUAAAUUUGCAAAACUUAAAAAAAUAGCAAAAUAGUUCUACAAGAACUCGGGCCAUGUACAAGAAGAUUGAAGGCCUACACCACUAGAGAUGGUGUGGUGAUUAUUAUUAUCUUACACAUUUAAGUCUAUAAUAGGUAUUUGUUUACAUGUAAAGAAACUUUGGGGGCCUUAUGAGGUGGCACCUUUUGCACACUCUGCCGGCUCUGUCUAUGAGUUUCCAAAAAAAAAAUAUUAUUAUUAUUAUUCUAUGAUUAUUAGUUUGAUAAUUAAAGUAUAUAGUGUUUAUUGUAUAAUAGAUUAUUUGAAAAUAUCUAUCUAAUCAAGUAGACUGGAACCCCUUGACAAAGACCUAGCUACAUAUUAACGCAUACUAGCUGGUGGUGGAGUAGAGAUUUAAACACAAAACAUCGAACGUAGGAAUAAAUAUAUUUCACUAUUUCAACUCUAGUCUAAAAUCCUAGCAAGUAAAAACCAACUUAUUAAGAGAGAUGGGGAUAUACUUUUGAGGGAGUCCUUAGCAUUUUUCUAUAGAGAUUCAUUAUCCAUUUUCUGGAUUUCACAGUGAUCAUUGUGCAAUUGAAAGUUUAAACAUUAGANNNNNNNNNNNNNNNNNNNNNNNNNNNNNNNNNNNNNNNNNNNNNNNNNNNNNNNNNNNNNNNNNNNNNNNNNNNNNNNNNNNNNNNNNNNNNNNNNNNNNNNNNNNNNNNNNNNNNNNNNNNNNNNNNNNNNNNNNNNNNNNNNNNNNNNNNNNNNNNNNNNNNNNNNNNNNNNNNNNNNNNNNNNNNNNNNNNNNNNNNNNNNNNNNNNNNNNNNNNNNNNNNNNNNNNNNNNNNNNNNNNNNNNNNNNNNNNNNNNNNNNNNNNNNNNNNNNNNNNNNNNNNNNNNNNNNNNNNNNNNNNNNNNNNNNNNNNNNNNNNNNNNNNNNNNNNNNNNNNNNNNNNNNNNNNNNNNNNNNNNNNNNNNNNNNNNNNNNNNNNNNNNNNNNNNNNNNNNNNNNNNNNNNNNNNNNNNNNNNNNNNNNNNNNNNNNNNNNNNNNNNNNNNNNNNNNNNNNNNNNNNNNNNNNNNNNNNNNNNNNNNNNNNNNNNNNNNNNNNNCACUCAUAGUGGGCCAACAAGGGCCCCACACCCAUAUACACACAGCGAUCCCCACCGUUGGUUCAAAUCGGAAAGCAUCAUCAUCAUCAUCAGUCCUAACACACAGGCAGUUGUGAUUUAUUUAACACAAUCAUUAACUAAUUAAUUUAUUCACGCUCCCAUACAAUAAAACAAGCCCACCACCCCGCGCUCUCUCUCUUCCUUUUAUUUGUCAGAAAAAUGAAAAAUUUCAGAAAUAUGAAAGUGACGACUGACGAGGCCACUCUCUCUGUACUCUCUGUGUCGCUGAACUAAAUACAGAGACGACGGGCGAGUCACUGACUCACUGAGUCACCCGAGCCGACCCGCAUUGAGCUUUUCUAGCUUACUUAGCUACCCAUGGCUGCGGCUCUGGAGUGCUGGUCGGGCCGAGCGAGCACGGACGAGGACAUGGUGGAGCAGGUGCUGAUGAGGACGCAUGACAGAUCGGAAGGCGCGACGGCGGCGCGGGAGAGUUCGAACGGCGCCGGAGUUAAGGAGUCGUCCGCGGUGCAGAAGAAGCUGCAGAGGCUGAGCCGGAACGUGUCAGAGGCCAUCGCGUCGUUCAAGAAACUCGCUGAAUCUCGACUCGGCGAGUGACUCGGCUACGGCGUCGUUUGGCAAGAUCGAGAGCUCGAGGAAGUUGGUGUGGGGAGUGUGGUGUGCGUAAUCUCACGCAGCUCUACCCUGGCAGUCAGCUGCCGGAGAAGCUCGUCUCCAACAUUCGCAAGCAUUACGAUUCUCUUCCCCUCAGGUUUGAAGGCUGAAUCUUUAGCUCUGUUUGGUUACUGAGUUUAUUUUAUAGUUGUUUGGAUUGAUGGAUUGCGACCUUGUGCAAUUUGUUGAGCAGCCAAACAGAGGAUUUUGGAUUGUGUUGUGAUUGAUUUUGCUUGUUUAGUGAUUUGGGUUUUUGUGUGUAUGUGAUGAAUAGUUAUGCUCAAGCGGGAUUCGAGAUGAAAGAAGUGUUUCUUCAUAUAAAAUUGAUAGAGCAGGCAUCAUUGGAAGGGCAUCCUGCAAUGUUGAUUCAAGAGGUGUCUGAGGAGGACGCUCAGGGGUCUGUGUUCAAGCUCACCUUUGCCUGUAACUGUUCGAUUUCAUGGCCAUUGAUGUCCGGUGCACUCGAUAACGAGUCGAUUUGCUACAAGAAGGUACAGAUCUUUGAGAAGAAAGGGUGUACUAUUGGCGUUGUUCUUCUUAUGGUUGAAGUUGGGCAAGAUAAAUUGUUCAGAAACCGGGUUGAAAAUGCUUUGAAGUCGGCUAUAAGGAAGCCCAAAUCGAGCACAGUGAAGCUCCCGUUUGGACUAUGUGGGUGUCAAGAAGAGAAUACGAAGGGGAGGGAGGUGGGAGAUAUUGAGGACGACAUUGGUGAACAAAAUUAUAGGAAUGGGAUUGAGAUUUCUAGCCAAAAGAUUGAGCUUCCGGGAUCCUCUACCCACUUCGUCAUUUGUUGUAUCCGUAGAUGAAUGGCAGACGAUCCAAUCUGGUGGGAUGAAAUUGGGAAGUGGCUGUUGAACUCUGAUAAUCUCGACUUUGUUGAUCAGAUUGGACCCAAUUCAUAUAAGGGAGUGUACAAGGGGAAAAAGGUUGGAAUUGAGAAGCUUAAAGGGUGUGACAAGGGAAAUUCCUAUGACUUUGAACUCCGAAGAGAUCUUUUGGAGCUCAUGACGUGUGGGGAACAAGAACAUUCUGCAAUUUUUAUGGUGUUUGCAUUGACGACAAUCAUGGGUUGUGCGUUGUUACGAAGCUGAUGGAAGGUGGAUCAGUAUAUGACUUGAUGCUUAAGAACAAGAAGCUUCAGAUUAAGGACAUAUUAAGGAUUGCCGUUGAUGUAGCAGAGGGGGUCAAGUUCAUGAAUGACCACAGCGUUGCAUAUAGAGACCUCAACACACAGCGUCUAUUAUUAGAUCGACAUGGGAAUGCUUGCUUAGGGGACAUGGGUAUAAUUGCUGCUUGUAAAAGUGUUGGUGAUGCAAUGGAGUACGAGACAGAUGGAUACCGGUGGUUAGCUCCCGAGGUUAGUUCAUUGUUGCAUCAGUUAUUAUUCCGUGAAUUAAUAUAGCUCAGUACUAAUCAGUCAACCUGGUAUUCUUUUUUUCCCAAGUUUAGCUAGCCACUUAGACCACAUCUUGCAUUACAUUACUUUAGUGUCAUCCCAUGAAUUUUCUGCUUUGAACCAGUUAAAACUGAGUUCUUUCAUGUAUAUAAACCUUUUAUCUUGUCAAUCUGCAUAACCAAAGGCUGUGGAAAAACUAACGUUCCAUUUCCAUAGACGUUGCAAACCCAAUGUGGCUGUUGUUCCAAAAACUUACUGGUAUGAUCAUAUUACAGUCUUCUAGUCAUUAUUUUGCUACAAAAACUUUACCUGCAUAGACCUUCCCAGCAUACAAGAUUUGAUUUGUUUCCUAUGGAUUCACAGAUUCAAUGUAUUAAUUCACCUAUUCAGGAUCAAUCUAUUUUCACUAAAUACACUUUAUGUCACUUACCCCGACAUAUUUGUUUGAGCAUGCCUAACAUGUCUUCAUAAUUGGUGGUACUUUUUACAUCUCAGUGUACUAUUUAUCUUUAUAUAAGCACUCAUCUAUAUUCCGUGAAACUUUACCCAACUACGUUUAUGCAUGCCACUAAACAUAUCAGCUUAGCCGCAACCUUAUAGUAGUGCUACUUUCCGAAAUACAGGUAUUAUUAUUGUGCGGAUCCCCCAAAAUGAAAAUUUUAAGUUUUUAGCAAUGAUCACUGGUCAAGAAUUAUAUCCUUUCCGGAACAUUGUUUGAUGUGCCGCAUGUUUCAUCCACCUUUUAUUAGCUUGUGAUAAUAAUUGGAUGCUGACACAAAACUCUAGGUAUAAAUUACUUGAUGAUGAAAAGAACUAUUUUAAUGUCGUUUAUUUGGAUUUGCUUUGAUUUGGGUCCCGGGAAAUGCGGAUACAAAUCACUUACAACAGAAUAAUUUUCUUUCUUUACUCAAGUUUGCUCUUUUGGGACCACCUUUUGUCACUUUCACUUUUGUAUACCUUCCGUCAAUCUGAAUAACAAUGAGCUUGUUCACAUUUUUGGAAGUACAGAAGUAAACAAAAACUUGAAGUUGUUCUUCCUUCUAAUGAAUUACACCUCAACUUGGAGUCGGCCGGCCCGACGACUUUGCCGGUUUCUGGGUAAAACUUUAAAAAUCACUAUUCUCCUUUGAUUCUUCACCAUUUUUCAUGAAAUUGGUACCAAAAUGAAGCUAAUAACAUGUAGAAUCACAUUAUACAAGUUUCAACGCUUAAAUUCUACUAGAUUUUUCCUAAGAAAGGUCGAUAGCUUGGCUUACCUAGAAACACAUCGAUCUCAGUCCUCCGACGUCCAAAUCCUUCCAACGAAGUACCUCUAGACUCGUGAGGACCUCCUUAAGCUUCCUAUGUUCUUAGAAUUCCUUGAAACACAAGGUUUUACGUGUGCAUGAACAAUGCACAAAAUCGGGGUUAGGGUUUCUCGGGUUUUCGAAACAUUCACGUCCAAACAAGGGUAUCAAUGUACUCAAAAGGUUACAAUGAGCAAGAACCUUACCUUUAAAGCUUCAAUCCGUGCCUGAAAGGGAAAGUUCAAAGCUUGUCCGUACGAAAGAGGGAAGAGAGAGAGUCCAAGAGAUGAGAGAGAGAGAGCACAGGAAUGAGAGAGAAGGUAGGUGGGUAUGUGUGGUCCAAAAGCCACCAAUCAUAACUAAGAGAAUACUUAGUUCUAAUUGGUUCCAAAAAAUAGAGGAAUAUAGCUAAUUGGUCCACACUCUUAAGUAUAACCCAUAGCAUCCAUAAUAAUUCUCAAUGUCCAAGGGUAAUUCCGUCAUUCCACAUUGUCGAAAAUUUAUAUAUUUGAGACGGGCUGUGACACGUCGACCGACCUGGGCCGAGGAGUAAAAAUAUAUUGAUGUUGCAUCGGAUGCGCUGCUGACUUCUCGAUCUUGCGAUUGUGGCCGAGGAAAGAACACGUAUCGGCCUUCGGGUUCUAGAGUCUGAAGACAAGGCUGUUAGUUCUACGAAGUUCACAAAUCGUCGGUGUCGAAUUUGGUCACGGUGAUUAUAUUCGUAAGAGUAUAAGUACGCCGAAUCGACACUAGACUAUAUGGACACAAGUAUUCAAAGCAAAUGUACCUUUUAAUAGUAAAUGUGGUUCGGCCGUCAGAAUGUCGAACUCUAAGUCCAACUUGUGAGUAUCCAAUCACAAAAUAACUCGGCGUUCAACGCACCAAGUCUAGUGAUUCGUAACACCUCACUUCGCCGAAAAUGAUCGUAAGAUGACCUCUGCCAACCGAGGCUUGGGUAGAAAACCAGUCGGCCUUGACGCAGUGCUGUUUAUCCAAACUGAAGGUGUUUCGCAGUCGACUGAUUCUACGUCGGCAGUGCUGUUUAUCCAAACUGAAGAUGUGUUGGCGAAAAAGAAACUAAAAAUCUCAAGGUUGUUGAGAGGUUUCGCGUAGAGCGAGGGUUUGCGCAUGGCAGUUUGUGUGUUGAGUUGGAGGGCCCUUUUCGUUGUUUGCCGCUUUGUAUUUAUAGCCAAGUUUCCUUGACCGCCAAUCCAAAAGAGUCCUUUCCCGACUAUACUCCAAAAAUAAUAUCAAAAACAAUUGAUAUUAUCUUUAAAUAUAUUUCGGCAAAAAAUCUUCUUAGUCUCCUUAUGCUUGUAGACUUAUAUGCUUGUAGACUUAUACUAAAGGAGCAACAAAUGUCCUGUUGAAACCCUUUCACAUGGCAUGCAUACUGUGAUUCCAUCAUCAAUUCUUAUCACUUUAAACUCAUUUGACAACACCCAUCACCAUGCAAAAAGGCCUAGCCUACCUAGGUUUCCUACCACAUCAUCACAUCACCAAAAAAAAAAAAAAAAAAAACCUAGCUUUCCUAGGCUCUCAUCAUCACCCUAAGCCAUCAUCUUUUACCAAAAAUGUCGCAUGCAUCUUGAAUGCUGAUGUUCGUUUUUAAUUAUCACCAUAUUUUAAAUGGAUAAUAUCCUGACAUGCAUGCUUCAUUAUCUGAUGCCGUGUAUAUCUGUCAACCAAAAUUGAUCUAAACCACAUAUCCACAUCCAUAUCAAUUUGAAUUGUGCCGCAUGUUUCCAGCUUGGAGAUAUAUUAUUUCCAUAAGAAAAUGUCAAGAUAAAUCAUUAUUAAAAGAUAAUCAUGAUAAAAGAAACCAUAAUGUUAUCUUUUUAACCUUACUAAAAUUAUCUUCACUUUUCCAUCGACAGUGUGGAGGUAUGCUUACUCAACGGUCUUGAUUACUCGGGGCCGAUGGUGUAAUUUUAGGUCCAAACACUAUCAAACUGUAAUUAGUAUGUAAAAAUACUUGACUGUGGCAUGUAGCUGAACAGUGUUGAUAAGUAAUCAUAUGAUUUGUAAUAUAAUACCAUCUAAAAACUAAGUGCUUUUGCAAUGAAGUUUUGGAGGCCAUAUAAGGUUUAAUAUUUGAGUCAUCUUACGCACAAAUAUUGAAGUUGUAUAAUGUAUACCAAGUCCAAAGAUUUUAAUUAUACCAAGAUGAAACCAAACCAACUUUCUAGUUUUGUAAAUCAAAGUGACGCUUCGGUUGCCCUUGCCGAUACGACUAAAAACUUGUGCCUCAAGACAAAACAUGACCAACCUUUUGUGCCCUUCUGUUUUUUUCUGUUUUGGGUCAAAUCUGUACUUUUUCUUUGUCAAUUGCCUCUCUGCACUUAAUUAUCUUUCCAUGCUUAGCUGACUGUCAACAUCUUCAUCAUCAUAACCAUAUACUUAAAAUUUCUCCACCUUCCAUUCCCAUGUCACAUACUCUUUGGUGAAAGAAAUGAGUACAUGUUUUUGGUUGAAUUGUCAUGACAUGUCGUUCAAAGUUUAUUCAUGUCAUAAGUCUUUCUACCAUGCAUGGUAUGUGAAUUCAUUUUACGUGAUGUUACACCAUCUUUGUUAGGUCUCCUUACUAUAGAUCGAUGACAUAUCAAUUAUGUCAUUCAUUCAAGUUAUAUAUAACACAUGUAUCAAUAGCAUCACAUGCUGAUAUGAUCAUCACACGCUUCAAAUUAAUUUUUUCUAAAGUACUCUUGGAGUUCCCGAUUCCAUACAUAUUUUUGGAAACUGAAAGCAAAUAUAAAAAACAAAGCACGCUGCAGUUGAUAUUUACAUGGAUGUUUGCAUUCCGCAAUAAGUACAAAGGGGAGAAAGAGAGAGAGAAGGGAGCUGAAGCUCUCCAACUGGGUUUGUCGAAGCCUUCAAAAGCUCCCUUCAUACAAAAGGUGGGACGAAGAGAUCGAACUAAACCCACCAAAGAAAAUAAACAAAACGAAAUCCCAGCGUUAAAAUUAACUUCAAAAUGAUCUAGGGAUCGGUUCACGUUAAAUGAGUGAUUUCCACAAGUCAUUUUUCUUUCGUCUGCACACUUUAGACUUAAACGACAAAAAUAAACAUAAAAUGUAGAACGAGAAAAUGUGUGCGUAAAUCGCCUCCCCGCUCUAAAUGUUCUGUCAGAAAGGUCUGAACCUCUUGGAGCCAACAGAUGGAGGACUAAUCUGAGGAACCGUGAAGCCGUCAUCCAUCCACAUUCUGUUGCUGGCCUUCAUGUUUGUACCCUCCUUUGUCUCUUCGAAGCCAACGAACCCACCGCCCAUCUGUGAAUAUUGAUACGGAGGUGCUUGUGAUGCCUGUGGGACCCACAUCCCCAUAUUUUCCGACGAGAAAGAGUUCAGAUUGCUUUCCGGAUAGGUUUCCGAAAACGACAGCAUCAUAUCAUUGUCGACCUGCCAUAACCAAUAAAACAAAAUGCAAAAUGUCAGAUCCAGCAGGCUAAUUAACUAAUUGAUGACAGAUUAACAAAACUCAAAGGAGAAGUGAUUUCUGCAAACUCAUUCUCUCUUAUCGUUGUUAGUAUGAAAUAAAUCAAACGAGAAUCAAGAGACUUGAAACAAACAGAAGUGUGCAGAAAUCAUUUUCCGACCCGUAUUUGGAAAUUUCAGAAAAAAUAGGGAAGAACGAGAUCAAUCAAUGCAAACCUUAGAGAAACCAAACGGGGUAUUAGAAAAAUCAAGAAAAUCCUCAACAUGCCAGCCCGGAAGCGUCUCUAUCAAGUACUCGGAUAUGGUACUAGUCGCACCCACCAAAUUUCCACCGCCUUUGUCGAUUGCAGCGGUUGAAGUUGAAUUCUUGACAGAAAUAGGAGGUGGGUUUGGAUUUGAAAUUGCAGGGGAGGCGGCGGAAACAGAUUUCUUGGUUGAAGGUUGAUGCUUUUUGAGAUCGGUAGAGGCGGUUUCAGAACUAGCAGUUGCUACAGUUGGCCGCGGCGGCGAAGAUUUGUAGAGGGCGGAGGUGGCGGAGAGCUUAAUACCUGUAAGAAGAUAUCGGUUGUGCUUCCGGGUGUGCUCGUUGGCGUUGUGAAUUGGAAGGUCGCACUCCCUGCACAGAAUCGCUCUGUCCUGCUGGCAAAACAAGAAGGCUCUUCUCUCCUGUAGAUGAAGAUUAAGAAACCCAAAUCAGAAAAUCGAGCGACCAUUGUUUAGAGGGUAGAGCCGUAGAGGGAGGAUAUAUACAGUAGCAAUCGAGCGCUAACAAGUCAGUAAGCUAAUACAUACCUGACAGAUAUCGCAGACGGGGAACUCCUUAGACGAGGGGUGGACGAGAGAGAAACGGUGGUGCUUGGAAACGAGCUUAUUGGCGUGGUGGACACGGUGGUCGCAGGCGUCGCAGAGGGCGGCCUCGUCGGCAGUGCAGAACACCGAAGCGUCGUCCUUGUUACACACAUCACACUGGAUCUUCAUCAGUUCUGAACUUCCAGAACAGAAAGAGAAGCUAAAUCUAAGGGAAAUAGGUAAAGAGGAAAAGGAGGCAGUGGGAGUGGAGGCUCUUUAAAGAAAGCAGAGGAUACUUAAAAGAGAACAAAUAUGAGGAGAGUAAAAAGUACCGGCGAGUAAUAAAAUAUCGACAGGGAUACUGGGAAAUCUUGGGGAACUAUUUAUGGUCCUUUCUCUCUCUCCUCUCCCUUUCUCUCUCUAACUUUAACAGAGCGAGAAUGGUGGAGUGAGCGAGUAAAAGGAAGAUGCUGAGAGGUUAGAAGGGUUGGGAGGUGGUUGCUUUAUUAAAUGGUUUUGGUCAGUGAAUAUUUAACAAAUUACAGUUGCCCCAUUUAGCUGUGAAGUGAGAGUGGGAUAAAAGCUCCAUAUAAUUUGGGGUUCGUUUGUUUACUACUUUUAGGUUCCGGUUCAAUUGUUUUUCAUUUCCGGCUUUGGUAAUUGGUUCGUCUUUUGGGCAAGCGUGUGUGUGCGAGGAAGUGACGAAGUCGGGGUAGGGUUAGGGUUAGGGUUAUGGCAAAGACCAAUGCUAAUGUGACUAAUGUGAUAUUGUUUCAAAACUAAUAUGGCAAAAUUAAAAUACGUAGUAACUUGUGAUACUAUGUGCCACUAUUACAUUGACAUUUCUGUUUUGUAUGUGUUUUUUACGUACACGAGAUCAUUUUUAUACGAUCGAGUAUGAUUAAAACUAUAAAAUUUCAAAUUUUUGUGUAAAUCGCUGAAUGAAUCACGUCAUCAUGUUGUUGUACUCAAAUUUUUUCUCCCAACAAUGGUGCAAUUUUCUACUUUUACUUAUUUCUCAAAUUGCUCUUAAUCAAUCAAUCAAUAAAUAAUUGGUUCAUCAUGAAUUCCAAGUUGAGUAGUAAUCACAUUUUAGUUUUUAUUUAGUCUUUUGAUUAUAGUAGUUAUAUGGGACCACCUUAUUAUACCCAUGCUGGCUCGACAUUGCAUCUGAUAUCAUGUGAUCUCCAAAUCUUGGAGGAGGGUUUUGUUUAUCUGAGCAAGACCUCGAACAGCUAUUACUUUCUCACCACUCCAACAAUAACAAUUAAACAUUAUCUUAUUAAGUAGAGUCGGCUAUAUGAAUCUUAUAACGUUUAUGCAUUCAAUUUUUUCGUCAAUUCUGCUAUUAGCUCAAGUACUACUACCCCGCCACUCCACACACUAAAAAAAAUUAAACGUGGAAAUUCAUUUAAAUUCAUCGAAGACUGAAUAUUAACAUGAAAUACAUACAUAGAUACAUUGUGGUGGUGGGACAACACAAGAUCGAGAAGAUAUCAUGUGAUCUUACGUCUUCUUCUUCUUAUGUCUUUGGUUAUUCGAAAAGGAAUAAGGAUCUUUCAUAUAUAUAUAGUUCAUACCCUUAUAUAAUUAGGGGUGGGUUCGGUUUAAUUCGGUUCGGUUUUUUGCCAAAACCGAAACCAAACCGAAAUUUCGGUUCGGUUCGGUUCGGUUCAUUUUUUUUUCAGUUUUUUUCGGUUCAGUUUCGGUUUUUUUGUUUUUUUUUCUUUCAAAAAAUGAAAAACAUUGAAAUUUUAACAUAUGCAACACAAUCAUAUAAUCAAAGACAAUGAAAAUAAAUAUUUAAAGUUGAACUAAAAUCAUCAAUCAAGUCUUCCAAAGUCCAAACUAACAACCUCACAACACAAAAAUCGUACAAAUGACUUAGAAAAGUUAAAUUGUAUGAUGUUGUUCAAAGAUCAGGGUUGUUUGCUUGUAACUGCAUGUUGACAACUUGAUUAGUAAAAGUAAUGCGUGGGUGGAUUUAUUUAGUAUGUGUUGGAUUCUUUUCCAUCACAAAUUCCCUAAGUAAUCUACCCGAAAUAAAUGUUUAUGGAUUCUGUUACAUGUUAUAUAAGAGUAGAUUUGGAAAAGAAAGCUGAGACAGAAGUAGACAGUGCUAUGGAGAUGGAUGUAGGUACUUCAGGAUGAGGUUUGACUCCGGAACCUUAUAUGGGGGAUAAAUAAUAGGUUAGGGUUUAAAGUUUUUAUAAGACUUUUUUUUAAUAUUUUGAGCUUAAAGUUUGGCAACACAUUGGGUUUAGCACAUUUUAACUUACAAAUUGGGUUUAGAAAAUAAUAUCCAAAACAAAUAAUUAAAUAAAAAAAUUAAUUUAAUUAAUUCGGUUCGGUUCGGUUUGGUUCGGUUUCUAGAUCACUAAAACCGAACCGAACCAAAAGAAUUCGGUUCGGUUCGGUUUUUUUGUUCGGUUCGGUUUUUUCGGUUUCGGUUCGGUUUGGUUUUCGGUUUUUUUCGGUUUUCGGUUUUUUGAACCCACCCCUAUAUAUAAUUGAUUGCGAAAGUGACCAAAUUGAAUGUGCUUUUCCUUUGAGGUUGGCAUGCAUGGAAUAUAUAUGGACAGAAUAAGCUCAGACAUGAAUAUUAAACUACUGAUUGAUAGCACUCUUCAAUAAGAUUGUGUUGGGUGUAUAGAUACUAAUAUCUAGUUAGAUAAGAUCACUAAAAUCGUCACUGAAGUUCCUAUUAACUAAAAACAUUUUCAACUAUUUUAAAAACAGUUCAAAAUGAGCACUUAUUGUGGUGCUACAAUAUUAUUUUAUUGUGAAGCACUAAACAAUAGAGGUCCAUUCCAUUAUGAAAGCUAACAACUUUUUAGUAAAUUGAUUAUAUUUUUUUAAUACAUACGAUAUUAUAUAUAUUAAGAGAUUGAUGAAUAAGCUAAAAUUCACAAUGAACUAACCAUAAUAAUUUAGUUUAAAUUCGUUUUUUGAAGAAAAUCAAACUUAAGACUUCUCACUUAAGUACAAAUGAAAAUGAAUAAAUACCAAACUAUAGCGCAAAGUAAAUAAAAAUAAAACAUGGCAAACAUCCACUCUAAAAGAUUUUUUAUGGUUAAAAAGAGGAGGAGGGUCGGAUUACAUAUUUAAAUGAAAUACAAUAUUAUUAGCCUAUUAGGGUUCUGGUAAGUGGAGUAUUAUACAAAACAUAUUUUAUAUUGCCACCAGAUCUAGAUUAUUGUUGAAGUUUCGAGCAAUAAGCGAAUCUCGAAUCCUCUAUUAUUAUUUUUUUAUCGGGAAUUAAGGAUCAUGGGACCGCUUCGCUCUUUAAAAUUGGGGGAUGGGGUGGCUUCAACUUUGUAUCUGUGAAAUCAUGGACGUCUUUAUGGUAGGCAUGGAAAAGUAGGCCAGACACUGCCUUGAGUCUCGGCUGUCUCGACGGUUGUAUUUUGUGUAUAUGUACAUAACGAAGACAUCCCCAUGCAUGUUGCUAUCUCCCUUUUCUGGGGGCUAGUACGACUGCUGAAAGCUAUUUCUGCACCGCCGACGAACCUUGACCUAACUUUUAUCAAGCACCGAACUCGUCCUAAUACUGUGCCAGCCCCAAUAACUACAAUUUGGUUAAUUUUGCUUUUUCAUUUGGAUACAAUUCUAUGCAUCCUUUUCCCCGGAGGUUUUUUAUAUAGGAACAUUUUAUCUUUAAUUUUAUACAAUAUUUUCUUCGAAUGGCAGUAUGGGCAGAUACCUGAGAACCCAGUUUACCCUUUGAUAUUCUAACACCACGAAGAAAAUUGAAAUUUUUAACUCUAAAACUUGGUAAUAAGUCUAAGGGAGUGACCCAACUUACCCUAACCAUAGAUUAGCCCUAAUACACACAUGCAAAAUCUCAUAGUUUUUCGACAUGAAAACAACAAUUUACAUCCUCACACAUUAUAGAUGACAAUUUGCCUAUAAAAAUAUGAACAUGAUUAUUGAUUAAUUACUACUUAAUGAAUAACUUAGUAGCAAAAGUACAUAUUCUUUUGGCAAAAUUUAUAUGAAAUUCAACUCGUUAAAGUUUGACGGUAAGAUAUGGUACUUAUGACGAGAGGGAAUCGGUCACCCAGCAGCAUCCUACCUAUUUGGGACAAGGAACGAUAUUCUUUAUGUUUUUUUCUGGAAGAAUAUGAAGCUUUAGAGGUCUUGAGAAUUUGGAGGUUUUUGUGCAAAAUUUAGAUCGAGGCCCUUCAUUUUUUAAUACUGUAUUUUUUUUGUUAUUUUUUUUUUCAAUUUGUAUCUAUAAAAUUUAAAUACUACAAAUUAGAGCACCACUUUGAGUGGAUAAGAGUGUUUCCUGUCUUGAAAGGUCUUCAGUUCAAAAUAUGUUGCAUGGUUUUUUGUGUAAAACUUAUCAACUUUUUAAGUUAAUAAAUUUGCAAAACUUAAAAAAAUAGCAAAAUAGUUCUACAAGAACUCGGGCCAUGUACAAGAAGAUUGAAGGCCUACACCACUAGAGAUGGUGUGGUGAUUAUUAUUAUCUUACACAUUUAAGUCUAUAAUAGGUAUUUGUUUACAUGUAAAGAAACUUUGGGGGCCUUAUGAGGUGGCACCUUUUGCACACUCUGCCGGCUCUGUCUAUGAGUUUCCAAAAAAAAAAUAUUAUUAUUAUUAUUCUAUGAUUAUUAGUUUGAUAAUUAAAGUAUAUAGUGUUUAUUGUAUAAUAGAUUAUUUGAAAAUAUCUAUCUAAUCAAGUAGACUGGAACCCCUUGACAAAGACCUAGCUACAUAUUAACGCAUACUAGCUGGUGGUGGAGUAGAGAUUUAAACACAAAACAUCGAACGUAGGAAUAAAUAUAUUUCACUAUUUCAACUCUAGUCUAAAAUCCUAGCAAGUAAAAACCAACUUAUUAAGAGAGAUGGGGAUAUACUUUUGAGGGAGUCCUUAGCAUUUUUCUAUAGAGAUUCAUUAUCCAUUUUCUGGAUUUCACAGUGAUCAUUGUGCAAUUGAAAGUUUAAACAUUAGAGUUGAAGAUAAUAUAAUUAGAGGGAGACUUCACUUCUGCUUAAAAUACGUAGUGAUCUAUUAUAAAUUAUUAUGUAAAGAUCAUCUUUACAAAAAAUCAAUUACAAUUAAGAUUGUUGAGUCAUCAAACUAUAUAAAAGAUUAAAAACAGAUUGACAGAUUUGAUAAAAAUAUUAUGAACCGUCAAUCUAUUUGCUACAAUUGAAUGACUAAAUCAUCUUAGAUUUAGUUGAUUUUUUGCAUAAAUGAUCUUCACAUAGUGAUGUAUAAUAUGAACGGUCCGAUUAUAAGCACGAAAUUUUGUGUAAAUCACAAAGUAUUUUGAGGAGGAAUUCCUCCUCAACUUUAAAGAGCCAAACUCUUCUUAUAGAAUUAAAACUGUAGCACUUGUCAAAUAAAUAACUGGUGCCACGAAACUUAUUGCAUGCUUUGUGAUAUCAUUUGCACGUAUUAACCUCUGAUCAGAGUUUAUUCACGUUUGUGCUCAAACCCACAUCGGUUAUGUGAAUGUGAUCAUUUAAAUGCUGUUAUAACUCAGAUCAGAAAAAAAAAAAAAAAACAAACUAUACCAGAAUUAAAUAAUCUUGAAGGGACAAAGAAGGAUCAAAAGAUAGGUCUUGUAAAUAUUUUGUAUUAGGGUUUGAUUCCAAUACGUUUCAUUUGGACGAGAAUUUUGAAGAACAGGAUGUGCUCAGGCUGGAAAUAUAUAAUUCCCCAUGCAUUAUAUUUGUGUCUAUAUAUUAUAUAUGUAUACAUGUCAUGUGUAUAUAAAUAUCAGGAAGUUAACAUAUUUAUUACAGGUAUGUUGCAGCAUAAGCUGGACAUAUGCGCUAGCUGUGCACUGUGUGAGGAUAAUUUUCUUAUAUGGCUUGAAUCUUUAAUAUUAUUGCCUUCAUUAUUUGUGUUUACUAUUUUGAAAGGAUAUUGUCACUCGUUGUUACUAAAAUUGAGAAAAAAAACUCAGAAACGAAAUAAAGGAGGAAAGUGAAGAAAAAAGUAGAAAUAAAAAACAAUAAACAAAUAGUAUUUACUACGAUGCAUAUAUACAAUAAUUUACUUGCCAGUUUAACAAAAAUUUAAAAUUUCUUAUAGCGAAGCUCUAAUAGUAGUGACGAUACCUAAACUAAUUAAUUGAUGAUGGUCAUUGAUAAUAUAAGCAAAGGACUCGAAUAGCUUUGGCAAAGGUUUUCCCUCAGGACUGAGGACAGAAUGAAGGGAUUUCUCCCGGGGGCACAAGGGUUAGCCUGUCUUUUUGUCCCAAAUAUAUAGAAAUUUAAAUAAUAAUAAAAGAAUUAAAAUGGAUUUUUAAUUAAAUAGAAUUUGUUUUAAAAAAAACAAAAAAGUAAAAGUAGAGAGUGACAAAAAGAAAGAGGACGAGUAAAACUAUUGUUACAUAUGGAUGGAUGAAAAAAAAUAGUUUUUAUUAGCAAAAUUACUUUAAUGCCUGUAAUUUUUUUAAUAUUUUCUUUUAAUUAUGCAUAAAAUAAUGACACUAUUUUCAUUAUUUUUUUUUUGUUGAUAAUCAAAUUUUUAUUAAUAGAUAGCAUAAAUAUAAGUAUAUUUUUACUCCUCAUAUAACAACUAAAUUUGCUGUAGCAAAACUCAAGUUGGAUGGUUUCCCGAAAAAAAUUGGAUUUGUUAUCCCAAGUUCAACUCCUGGCAACAGAAAAUUUUGUUUUACAUUAAAAUUAUUUUUAUUUUUAGAAUUCAGCUACCGGAAUCAUCAAGUAGCGUACUUCUAUUAAAAAAAAAACAUGAAAACAGGAUUCAAGAUUUGCCAUGAUGGAUAGGCUCUUUCUCUAUAAGCUUCCGGUUUGGAAAACGAGAUAGAAAAGCUUUGUUGCGCCUUUUUGAAGGACCCCAAUUUUUGUUUCUUUCUGUUUUUCAACAAUUGAGAUUUUAGAUUCGAAUUUUCCAUUUAGAUUAUAUUAGAUUAGUAUAUCCUUAAAUCAAAGAAAAACAAACUGUGGUCCUAUUGAUUUAUGAGUUCGAAUAGAAAAACAAUAAGCAGAAAGUAAAUAUGUUGUCAAAUUACAGACCACCUUCUUCAACGACAAUUGUAUACAACAGAAGAGAAGUGGCUUCAACUAGUGAAACCCAGAAGCUGCAGGAAAAAUUAGCACCUUCUGAAUACUGUACCGUUCUUGGCACCUCCGCUAUCAUUCACAAUCGGUGCUCUUUGCCUUCAGCUAUUGGGGGAUGCUUUCCAAAUACUGCUUCACGCGUGUUUGGUUCAUCUCAAAUAUGAAUGGCAUUCCCCGUAUCUGCGCAAGAUUCAUCAUUUACAGAAUAUCGUUUAGUCAAGUAUGAUGCGAUCAAACUACCCGAAACAUGUGUUAUGUGAACUAGAGUGUAAUUCUAGUGUUUGGCUUGAGAUUAUUACGGCAGGAAAACCCCAAUCUAUUUGAAACACCAUGGUCUAUCAAUGACUUAGGAUGACGUACACAAUGUAUUGAGCAUUUUGAUCACCAACCCAAAAAUUUGACGAGUAUAAAAACGAAUUUUGAGGUAUGACAAUCAAGACUUGUGCACAGCCUCACAGAGACAUUGCACAAUAAACAGCUAAGAAAUUCAAAGAAAAAUGAAGUUUUAGCAAACAAAAUUGUAAGAACAUACCUCAAUCAAGCAACUUGAACUGAGGCUUAGACUCUGUCCAGGGGCUACUUCCUUGCUAUUUACCGAGAUUGAACACUUCCCAAGAUUUUUCAGAUGGAAGGAUCCAUCUUUAUCCAUAUUUAUCAUUGCCUAACAAACAUAUUAAAAUUAAAUAAUUUUUUGGGUUUAGCAAGAAGACGUAAACAGCAUAAUCAGAAGACACCUAAGUUCAGGCCUGUCAUUGCUAUCACGAUUUAAUGAGCUAAAUCCUAAAUGUCUUGAGGGAUUUCUUUCUACCACAUCAUUGAGAACACUACUUAGAACAAACUUUCCCCACUACUUAGAACAAACUGUCCCCACUCCUUAUCCGGCAUGUAUGUAUAAUCUUUAUUUCCAAACCUUUGGAAGGAAAGAAAAAAGCUAGUAAUUGCAUCACUGGUAUGGUGAAUAUGUUAAGGUGGUCAACAAUAAUAUUACCUGUUUCCGAGAGAUCUUAUUACCACGCCCGUCUCUUCCCAAGUCAAUGUCAACAACAGCAUCGUCUGUUGCUCUACCCAAUAGAACCUGCAGAUAUAGAUAGCUAUUCAUUCACAUAAUCAACCCAUGUCUGACAUAGACUUAUUGGACCAUCAGUUUUCAAUUCUUCUUUUCGACUAAGUCUGCACAUAUAGCAAAACCUAGAUGGAUCCUUAAUAUUCAUUAUGACAGUGAUUAAGUUAUACACAUAACUCUUGCUCCAUAAUUACAUCACUUCCAAAUGCAGCUAUGGGGUGAAAACCUCCCAACCCCAGUUAGCAGGAAAAGAGAAAAGAAGGGUCCAUAUGGCAAUCGAAAUACCUCGGGCUUCUUAAUGUAAUGCUUAGAAUGACGUCCAUACAAAAUGGCAAAAGCUCCAUGAGAUGCAAUGGCUCUUUGCAAAUAUGAAUAAGCACACUGCUCCAGCCUUAUGAUUCUCCUCUUAGCAUCCUCAUUUUGAUAUUUUGAGACUGCACAUAGAGAACAGCAUAAAAUUACAAUUUGUAAGGCAUAUUGAUGCAGUGAACCUACAUCACAUAUGAGGCAAUCGCUUUACAGAAAAUAUUAGUUCCGUGAUUAGGAAUGUUCUAAUGUUCUAUUUCAAAACAUAUCAUUUAGUAUGAAUGCCGUAUCAUCUGUCAGUGAAGCAUGAAUGCCACACAAUAAACACACUCAUUACAUUAAUGCACACCAUUUAUCCCAGGAUUUGAUAGGCAGAAGAAGGGAAGUACCGAUAAGAUUACGUUAAUGCAUGCCAUUUUAGAGGAUUUGAUUGGCAGAAGAGAAGUACGGAUAAGUCUGUAUAAAGAAAAUAAGUAAUGAGCUGGUCAUUAGAUGCAUAAUAGUUUGACCGAGUAUUACCUUCCUCACUAGAACACAAAUCCUGGUCAUCUGGGUCCAAAUCCAUAUCAAGUACCUGCAGGUGGAACAAAAGUCAAUGAAACUAUAAGAUGAAUUAAGAAAUUGAUAAGCAAAGCAAAUCUAUCAACACGAUGAUUUUCAUUUUAGCACUAACCAUUGCCUCUAUAUCCGAAUAACAUGGUAUAUCAUCAUCGCUCUCAAAAAGCCCCAGUUGAUCCGAUGUAUCGGGAUUUAAUUGUGGUUCAGCAAUAUACAUGGGCAGCCCUUCUGUAUGUAAUGAUAUAUCGUCUCUAAUUGUAGCUGAUGGAUCAAGCUCCUUUUUAAUGACACCAGAAUCUGGGUUCUCCACAUGAAACUCAGUUGAGUUAUAACUGAGACGCUUUUCCGAUACACUUUCUUUAGUGUCUUCCUUCAGUAUUCCAGGUUGAACACUUGUACUUGGAUUGGCUGAAUCAAUUUGGCCCGGACCUUCACCAACAUGACCUGCACUCUUAGAUGCCACCUCACUGGGGACAUCAGACAGCUCAAAUUUCACCCCGAAAUUACCUAGUGGAGAUUUUCGACCCUUUUCUUGUAAGAAAUGUGAUCCUUUAAUCUGACAGGUACUAUGUGGUUUUCCAAGAUUUUUUCGCUCUUUAUGCAUAAAGCACGGCCCUGUGUCAUUAUUUCUCUUAUUAACAGGGAAACCACUAGUGGACAAAGAUAUUGGCUUAUUCCCUUCAGAAGUUGAUGAACGAUUUGGUAGAAAAAUAUCACCAUUGCAUGGGAUUUCUGGGUCCUCGGUGUUUAAUGUGCAGCAGAUAAAUCCAUCCCUCAAUUCAGGAUUUUGAUAGUUCGAAGCUGUUGAAGAUGAUAGCAUCGGAGUGUCUGAAUGGCAGACUAUAUGUUCAUCAGCAUUUGGGGAUCCUCUAUUGUCAUCUACCACUCCAGGAUACGCACUAGAUGGGUUCAUGGAGUCCAUAACUGGAGCUACAGAUGUUUCUGGCUCAGUUUUGACGAUUGUCUGUUCAUGAAGAACAUCAUCUUUCGGUGAACUCAACAAAAGGGAGCUCAGGCCAUCAUAGUAAGACUUAUUAAUCACAUCUUUUCCAUCAGCAGUCACAAGCAUGAGCUCCUCAUUCGUAAAGUUUAAAAGUGAAUUGGACAAUUCUGCCAAAUAACCUUCAGUACAAACAGGAGCUGCAGAACUCUGGAAAUCACAGCAUGGCAUUUCAGUGGCCACCUCCAUCCCAAUAUGAGCAUCAUUCUCUGUUGUUCUUGCCUUGUUAGCCUCGAUAUUUUCAUGAAGUUCAAAAGAAUCACUGGUGCGUAUAUCAUUUUCUCUAAGAUCAACAUCAACUGGCAUAGCUGGAAGUGGAGAUGAAUACUCCAAGUUGUUAAAUAAUGCACCACUGUCUGAAACAGGUGAAUUAAAGGCCUUGUUCCCUUCAAACUCUGUGCACAUGUUUCCCUCGUUGCCAGUAAUUUGAUCAAGUGUAAACGGAGGUUUCAUUCCUAAGUCAUUGGCAUUGAACAGGCUGCAAUCUGGCAAUCCCUCUGGAUGAUUGAAUUCAUCCACCUCAGAUUCAUUCCAUGUCAUAAUAUCUUCAUGGAUAUUACCUUGUUCCAUAUGAAAAUCAUUCCCAUCUGGGUUCUGGAGCAUAUGAAAAGUAUCAUCAGUGCCGACAUCCAUCAGAUUUUGCAUUGCAUCCAUAUCUGAUGUCUCGAGGCCAAAAGGGGCUGAGAUUGGAUCUCCAUUCAUGCAAUUUCCGUAAAGAGGCUCAUCUCCAUUUCCAUCAUAGUUGUUAUUACUGGGUGCAACAAGAAAAUUAAGGCCCAUGGAAUUAAACGGCUCGUUGCAAAUCCUUUUACGCAUUGCAUAGUAACUACUACGAACACUUUCAGCUUUUCUCUUCCCGGAUUCACAUUUUUUUCCUUUUGAAUUUCCUGCCCUGUCAAAUGGAACAGUUGUUGUGGAACUCUCAAACUCAAUCAUGCGAGAAGAAGCAUCUUCAGAAACUACUGGAUCAUACAGGAGAGAAUACCACCGAUCUUGCAGUUCACAAACAGUAAAUCUUCGAGAAAAAUGCACUGCACCUUUAGCAAGUGACUCCAAGGAAGCACCAUCCUGCAAACAGAGCAAAAGAGUACCAAGUCCAAAUAUAACUUUCGAGAAUACUAAAUUCCUGAUAAACUUUCCUUGUAUGACAAAUAUAAUUACAAAAUCAAAACCGGCAUUCUGAAAAUGACCAAAUCCUAAUUUAUUUCCAAAAGGGGAACCCGGGUAGUUCCCCUCCGACGCAACACACUUAACAGAGGCGAUUACUUGUUAAUUCGACAAAGAUACAGCCUACCUCAGCAGGAAAACCAGCAGUGACAAUUGUACUAGCACAGAACAACAUAAUUUCAACUGUAUUCACCUUCAAUUGUAUCUAGCAUUUGUCCAAUUUAUCGAUUCUGUUUCAAUAAUUUCAAUCUUAAAUACGAGGAUAGCUAAACCCAUAACAUAUUCAAGAAACAUAAACCCGAAAUUCAUUGUUCAAACAAAUCGAAUUCAUAACACACUAAAACCCCAAUAAUUUGAAAACCCAAAAAAGAAACAAACAUCAUACGUAUAACGAAAACAAAUUACCAGAAAAAUCCAGGUUAAUAAUACACUACGAGGAUGCAUGAACAUCAGAUUUUCCGAAAAAAGGGAGGAAAUUUAGAGCCGAAUACAAACCUCAACGGCUUUCUUGAGCAGAAUAUCAUCCGCGGGAAUCCACUGAGAGAACGGAGCGAGAGCACCCAUGGUGUCCGCCACCUCCCUCUCUCUCUCUCUCUCUCUAGAGCGUGCUUGUUCACGGAAGCAUGGAAAAAGCUUGAAGAAAGGGGAAAUUACAAAAAUAGGCGGAGGGAAGAAGGCCUUCGUGGCGGCUGGAGGGGUUUUUGAGGGAAACACAACAUACAAGGAAAGGAUUUUACAGAGGUUCUGUGAAACGUGUACGGCGGCGAAUUGAGCGAUGGGGGCACGGCGCCGGGGUCUCAGGUGACUGAGAUAGGCGGGGUUUUAGGGGUUUAGUUGGGUGGGGCAUUAGGGCACGUGCCAACCCACUCAGUCGUCUCUCUCUCUCUCUCUCUCUCUCGUGUCGUGCAGGUGAGAGAGAGUAUCUCAGUGCUUACGGUUUACUGGGAAUUAAGGAAAAGGAUCGGUAGGGGUCUUAGAGAUCCCGUGAUUUCACAAGUUCAUCGUCAAUUGUGGGUUAAAAAAUUAUUUUAAAAUUUAAAAUUUAAAAAUAAACAUAAAUAUUAUUUAUUAAAAUUGCCCAAUAUACAAUAAACAGAAAAAAUUACGGAUUCCUAAGAAAAUCCUUUUACGGUUUACUGGACUUGUAACCGCGGACUCCUAUGCCCUUGGUUGACCAUUGACUCAAGAGUCCCUCCUCCAACGCUAAAGUAAGAUUUCUCCGUGUGACGGAAAAACAGUCCGAUACACAAGUGUUAUAAUACAAUUUGUUAAAUUUUGUAUUUUCAGUAUUCAAUUAUUUAUAUAUUGACAUUUUGUCCAUCUAUCGUGUUCUCGGCAAACUAAGAAUUUUUUCAGCACUAAGAAGUGUCCUUUCUUUUUUAUACAAUAAAAAAUAUAGGUUUUUUUUUUUUUUUUUUGAUUUGAAAGAUUUUCCAAUAUUCACAUGUUUAAAGAAAUAGAAGACCACACUGUACCGUUUUCUAAUAAAUGUUAAACUUAUUUGUAUUGGGGCGUUUUACUCCUGGUCGAGAGAUGGUAUAAUAUAGUCUCUUAGCAUAACAAUAAAUUUGUGCACUAAAUUUUAAGUGUUGACACAUUGUUGCGUGGACGGCAAACAAAUUUGGUGAGUCAAUUUUUGUGACUGUAAUCUUUUUUAUAUUUUAUGAGGUGAGAAAAGGAAUGUCUUUUGGUAUAAGAAAGAAUAAUGGUGAAGUGACCAAAUUUGUUACCAAAAGCUAUGAUGGAGAAAAAGAAAGUUGUGAACUGAAAAAAGAAGUACAGCAAAUCCAGUAAGUUUCAAUUGUGUUGGGUGUCAACACUCCCAAAAAGGGCUUGUGGUGCUUUUCUUAUGAUUUAAGUUCAAUUUUACUUUUUGCUUCUUUCUUGAAAAUGACAGGGUUGUUAAUAGUGUUAUUUCGCGUUUAUUUAAGCUUUAAUACCUAAAAAAUUAAGAUCAGGUCAAAUACGGUAGCUAGUUAAUCUUAUACGCUCUUUUUUUUGUCUCUUUCCCAUUAUUUCAAUACCUAAAACAUUAAAAAUCAAAUCAACUAGGGCUACUCGGUCUAAGUUCAAAUUUUCUGCACCGAAAGCCCUUUGUGGCUUAUUUGUGAUUUAUUUAUUGAACUAACAUGCAUUCUUUUGACUUAAUUUAUCCUUAGUGUGGUUUUUUUAUUAAGGAGAUAAGUAGUGCAGAAGAUUUGAACAUGGUCUCAAUACCCAUUCUUUCUUACAUUUUUUAUUUAUUUAUAAAUUUCUCAAUUAAAUAAACAAGCAUAUUAAUCUUGAAUUCCUCUCAAAAAGGAAGAGAAAAAGGAAAUUGAAUCCACCAAACAUGAUUUACGUGGACCGUCAUGUUCAGAAGAAGUUUAAGAGGCCCUGUGUUAUAUUACAUUACCCGAAUUUCAUGGCUAAUCUGCUAAAAAUGGCGGUUACAUAAUGGGCCUCGACAACGGAGGCAAUGGCCCAAGUGGUUCAUUGGGCUACGUCCUUACACUAACUGACCCGAGCUUAACAUGCUUUGAUGGGUCUAUUGUCGUUUCCUAUAACAGAAAAUCCCUAAGGAAAUGGAACCAGAUCUCUUCCUCCUAAUCCAUUAAAUCAAUAAAUUCGUGCUAUUAAAGUUUGAUUAAACGGUUAUAAAUAGGAGCUCAUUUUAAAAGUUAUAAUAAGUUCAACCAUUGGAUCAAAUUUUAAUAAUACGGAUUCUCUAAUUUGAUGGAUUAAGAGUAAAGAAUAUGGAGAUGAUACCUUUCCAAAGGAAAUACAAAAGAAUUUCAUCUGAAACGAAUAAAUGCAUCACACAAAUUUCAAAUCCACAAACAAGAUUUUAAGAUUAACCAAUUUUUUUGCAAAAUUACUCGCAAAACCACAGAAACCACUGCAGUUAAUGGCCAAUUUCCAAACUCCACAUGCAAUUACUUUCUGUUAACACAUUAUCUCAUAUCGUAUGAAAUUAAAUUAAUUCGUUGGUAAAAAAAAUUAAAAUUAUAUAAAAUCAACGCACCUGAGUGGCGUAUGUUCGUUGGAACAGGCUAUUUUCCGCAUUGAGCUACAAAAACAAAAAUUCCAAAAAAUGAGCUGAAAGUUGAAAAUAAAAUUUUGAAAAGAGUGAGUGCAACGAUUACGUCUUUGAAUUGAAAGAGGCUGAGAUUGCCGACGUAGGAGAUGGCGUGGCGAGACGACUCGAUCGGAAUGAUGAGUUGCACCAACUGCAUUGGCUAUGACCGCAGCAAAUCCAUCAUUGGACAACAACGACAUCCUCCUCCCGCCGCUUCCGUCGUCCCCAUCUUCCCGACAUAUUUUCACAAAUCUAUUUUUCUCUCCGAUUUCAUCCUGGUUUGGUACUGAGGUGUUUCUGAAAAAAAAAUGGGUUAAAAUAAAAAAGUUAUGUUUGGUAAAUAUUUAACUUCAUCUUUUUUCUUCUUCACAGUUUUGGGUGGAAAAAUUGUGAAAAAAAAGAAGCCAAAACACAAAGCUGCAAAACCCAACUUUGAAAAACCAACUUUUUUUGCUUCCCUAGCUUCUGCGCAAACCGAUUUCGCAAGAAGCGCUGAGGCCUUUAAUGAAAAUUUCCAUUACCCAAAAUGGCCUUUAGCAAUUAAAUAAAUUAUACAUUAUACCCGUCGACUUCAUCGCCGACCCUGCCACAUCUCUCUUCCGUCUUCUUUGACUUUGAGCUUCUUCGGAUUUCUGGGACAAGAGCGGCUAGAGGUUUGUUGGAUUUCUGGGUUUUGUCAAAAUUCGGGGCCUUUUCGUCGGAUUUAUGGGCUUCGUCAAAAUCUAGGUUGCACAAAGAAUGCUAGAUUUGCACCAUUCUGCUUGACACCCAAAAUCUCAACGGGAAAGCCUUAACGCCUACGCUGCUAACUAACACCAACGGUAAGUCUUGAAAUCAGAGUUCAUCCAUCUUCUGCGAGUGAAGACGAAAGGCCACUUGGGUUGGACCCAGAAUGAGCUGAGGACAUGCUGAAAGCUCCAAAACAAGGGCGGCGAGUGGAAGACGACCAAGUGGUGGUAGUUGUGGGCAAUAAUGAUGACGAUGAAGCCUCUAACAUGGAGGGAACUCUCACACAACUUCUCCCAAAUCUCUAUCAAAAGAGCAGGGAUUGUGUUCGAGGGAUUACGAUUGGUGUUGCUGCGGUGGUGGUCUUCGAUAAGGCAAUGGAAUUUUUCGGCGACCCAGCCUUCCUUAGGAUAUGGCAGAGAGAGACAGAGAGAUAAGGAUGAGAGAGGGAGUGGGCGGCGGAAGAGGAAAGAGAAUACAGGUUUUGCAAAAUAGGAGAACCGAACCUUGAAGAUAAAAAAUUAUGAUUCCAUAAUAAAAGAAAAGAUAAAGAGUAAUAGUUGUACAGUAAAUAGAUGUUGGAUUAUAUGUUGAAUGUUGGAUUAUGAUUUCUUGUUAAACGUUGUAUUAUAUAUUUAAGAUAAAAUUUAUAAAUAUUUUUAUUUUAAAAAUAAAGUAUAUUUAGUAAUCCAUCUUUAUUUGUUAAGAAAUUAAAUUAAUGGCACUUCCUUUUUGGUCAUUUCACAUAGUCACAAUUGUGUUACAUAAAAGUUUACUAAACACUAUAAUAUUGUUUUUUUUUUUUCUUCCAAAAGCACUUUUACAAAAAAGUUUACGAAACACUCUAUUAUUUUAUGUCACAACUGCUUAUUCUCACAUCACAACAUUUUUUUUCAAAGCACAGCAAUACCAAACCAGCCCUUCAUCUAAUGUCAAACUUUUUCUUUUUCUUAUAUUUCCUUUUUUCAAACCUUUUACUUUACGUUGCGGCGUCGUUUUAACCUGACGUGGCAUGGGAGUUUGCUUAGGAUCACAUACGCGCGCAGCUGAAACGCAGCGUUUCAUGGAAAAUCAUUCGAAAUGCUUGAACAUACUAGUCCAAUCCAAUGGUUCUGUUGGAAUUGUCAACGUCGUAAUCACGUAGUUUUCCUCCCGCCUUUCGGAUCUGCAGAAACGAUUUACUCCGUUUCGUAUGGAUACGUUGAAUUGGGCCAUGAAUGUCGGGGCGGCCCAAAUUCAAUUAAAUGACUUAAAAACCUCUUCGAAAUGGGAUUUUCGCAUUAAUUCCAUUAGUAGGUCCAGGCCCACUACAGUUGGCUACACUUAUGAAUUUUAAUUAUUUUGGUGCUAUUUUGCCGAAGAAUAAAAGAUAUCCCGUUUCAACGCGAUUAGAUUUGGGCUUAGUCGAAUUGACUAAAAUAGUGAGCUUUUUUCUUUGACACAGGUGUAUGAAUUUUUUUUCUUAUUGUUUAGAUGAAUUUUGUGUCGAUUAUCUUAUUCUGAAACUAGGCUUUUACUAUCAGUUAAAAAAAAAAACCCAUUCCUCCCCAAAAAAUUUCUAUAAAAACAGAAAAAGAAAAAAAUAACAUAUUUUUAUGAUAUGUAGGAAAAGAGGCUUUAAAUUCAACCCAAAAGUCGAAAAAGGAAUUUCAUUAAACGUCUUAACAUAUAUUUAUUUGUAAUGCAUUACAAGAUAUAAAAACAGAAACUUCGAAAUGGUUGAUGCAAUACAUUUCAUUAACAUUUGUGUCCAGUAUUCGUAGUUUUUUAGUAGUGUGAUUGCAUUACAAUUUUGACAAUUGUUUGUCGCAAGUUACUAUUAAAGUUUUGAAGUCCUUCAUCCAAACAUGUAGAUAGGCGUAAAGUAAACAAUUUGGCUAGACUAGCAAAUCUCCGUUUGCGUGAAAUUGAGUUUCGUUCCCCAUAAUUUAGAUCAAAUUAAGUCAUCUCAUUUUGUUAGAAAAUAAAAUGAUAAAUACACUUCUUUUGUCAUCUCAUUCACCAUUGUUUAAUACUAUUCGUUGUUUUCAAUGACCGGAAACAAAUAGAGAUGUGUGAUAAGUUAAAAGACGUGUGUGAAAAUUAUUAAAAAGCCAAAACUGAUGUUUUCAUUUAGCCCCCUAAGUAGAUUUACAAAAAAGUAAGUGGUGGAUUGCUCGAUGGCCUUAUUCUUCAAUUCACUACGUGCCGAAAUUAAAACAUUAUCGCUACUAAAUCAACGUGGAAUAUAAUUUGUAUUAAAGUAGAUUUAUAGAAAUAGUACAUAAAUGCAAAAACGAAAGUAGUAUGCCUUGAAGUCAGGGCCGGCCGGAUUGAGGAUCAUAUCAUGGCAGACAUUAUGGCCUUCUUUAAACAAGGACAAUCACAAGGAUUAGCAGUAGGACCGCAAAUACAUAUGCAGAUUACAGAUAUAUAUAUAUAUAUAUUUAUAUAUAUAUAUAUACACAUAUAUACUCACAGUCACACAGUGACUGCAACAGAAACCCUAGCAGUAGCAGUUAUAUAUAUGUAGGCAGUAGCAGACGCGGAUGAUACAUUUUGGACCACGUUUUAGCUAAACAGCAGUUCGCAUGCGGCCUGGCCGCAACCUACUCUCUAAACGCUCCGCCUAGCCCUGCACACUCUGUAUCUAUGUAUAUAAUCAAUAAUAUAUGUAUAUUAGUAUGAGGAUACGAAGGUAAAAGAAUUCUAAAUCGGUGAAAAGAUAAACUUUGUAAAAGUCUUAUAACUUAUAAGAGAUUAACUACUUUUCAUACUGUUAAUUAGUUUUCCAGUGAAACUUUAACUGAAUUAGACGAAAUAAUAAACCCUAGCCAGCUACAUUUAUAAUACUUGAUCUCAUAAAUACUGCUAGCCUGCUAGGGUUUUCUCCAUCCACCUAUAAGGAUAUGGAGGAGAUGGAGGGAUGAACUCCAUGCGCACACGGCGGAGAGCUACAACUCGAUAUCAUGCCCAUUUCGUGUCCCCUAGCUACAAUGUGAUCACACUUGCUUUUAUGAUUUUUUACAACCCUUUUCGGGAUCCUUGUUUGCUUUAAUCCACUGUGCGUUAAUCUGUAUUUAUAUAAUAACCCCCUCAACAUAUUGCAGUUUAUUGGGCUUAAACACAGGUUAACUCUAUAAUAUUCCAUUAGGUUUGUUAAUUACUUAACUCGAUGGGCCGAGAAGUAAUUUUGGUAAGUUUCCAAAAGUAAUGUUCUCGCAUCUUAAUUUGUACUCAAACUUGACUCCCUUUUCUUAUGUUGUAUAUAUAAUACCUCAUAUUUAGAGUAGAAUUAUCUCUCAUCCUAAUCUUUAUUUCUUCAUUAUCUUCCUAUUUGAACCUAUACGAUUAAGUUACGUCAAUAUCUUUUACUAAUUUUUUUAUAAAAAAAGAAGACAAAAGGCAAAUUAUGAGAGGAAACGAGGAAAAAAAAAAAAAGUAGAGACCACACAUCCAGUGGUUACUAUUACUAACUGACUCGUGAUCUGAUAAUUUUGAGCACAAAGCCAGAAAAUAAGGGUGAUUGAUUGCAUAUAUUGUAGCAGUAGUGCAGUUUUAGGUCAAUAAAGUCGUGAAAGAAAGACACCCGGAGAAUUCGAAUGACAAAGUAAUUAGCAGUACGAAUAAGUCAUUGAUCAAAGUUACUUAGUAUUACGUUAUAGUGAUAUUUCUUUUCACUCGUAAGUUAGAGGUCAUAGAUUCGAUUCUCGCUAAAGGUGAAUUUGAACUACAUUAUUGCUAGUCUAUUAUGAGGCUAAACACACCCCAUUUUCAUUAAUGUAAACAAUAUCGAUUGUUAAAAUAAAAAAAAUAAAAAAAAAGUCCUUGAUCAAACCUUCAUUCAACUUCUGUGGGUCUACACAAAUACUGUUUAUUUGAUCAAUAUUCAUGUGUCAAUGUUUUCAAGUACAAUUAUUUUCGGUGAUCUUGAAAACGACAUAACACAGCCACAGAGGAAGUUCCAAAUACUAGAUUAGUACAUUAGUUUAGAUGAUCGUGAUAUCUGUUUUGGGGGGUAAUUAAGUAUUCUCAAAUUGUUUUGGCCGUGGGAAAGGUAGACUGUUGUAACAGUGAAACGACUUAGCACAUGUUCAAACUAACCCUUUUGUAUAAAUCUGAACUUAGCCAAGUUGAUUUGAACAACAUGCUCUUUCUUGAAAUCAUCAUCUUGUAAGUAAGAUAAGUUUAACGUAGAAUAUAUCGGUUAAACAAAGAUAAUCAUUGAACCGUUCUUAUUCUUCAACGGCUAGCUGUUAACGUACACACAGAUAGAGGGAUGUAGGAUGAUUUUAUAAGGCUACCCACCAUUUUUUUAUAAAUUCGGAAAUUAAAAAUAUUGACAUACGAGAGAUUUGGGAGGUCAAAUCAUAGAUAUUUCCUUCAACGGUUGUUUGACUGUGAGCAUUUCAACAUAUGUAUAUGUGUGUGUGAUAUAUAAAUACAUGAAAGAACCCUUCUUUCUCCUCAUUUUGCUGAGCUAAAUUAUGACCGGUCAAAUGCUAAACAGGAGGGGUCAACAGCUAAGGUUCAUCUUUUUCUUGAUGCAGAAAGUGAGACACUGCUAGGUUAAACUAGUUCUAGGGUUUACAGAGAUGAUUUUCAAAAAAAAUUUAAUCAUUAAAUUAUAGUAAAAAAUAAAUAAUUAAGAUUUAACGGUUAAAAAUCUCGAAAGUAUUCAUCGUAUAAUUUUUAGUAUCAAUACAAAUCUAACUUUUUUCUACGUUGUCAUAGAUACAAAGAGGCAACAUCCGCAGAACCAGACAAUUGCAAGGGAACCUUUCCACACCAUAAUAUUGUACUCAUAAAAAUCCUACUUCCUUUUUUUUAAGUGAUCUCCCACUCCCCCUUGUCCUCAUGCACUCCAUCAAUUGUUUCUAUUCGUUGAUUUUGUUUUGAUUGACUCAAUUCCGAGACUAGAAAAAGAGAAAAGCGCAUGAAGAUAAAAAAAAAAAUGUGAAAAUCACUUCUAGUUAUUUUGUUAUACACAAGCGAUAUUCAUUUGAAAACUCAUCUAAACUGUAAGUGAGAGGAUUCCAGGAGAAAGCACAUCGUUUUUAGCCGUUGCACCUACGCCCACAUCUACUUUGUACUUCCCCCUUCAAUAAUUAAGAAUAUUUGUUUUCUUUAUCAUGACCUCUAAACGUUACCAAUUAUAUAUGCAUGCUUAGAGGUGACAAAUCAACCAAUUGAAUUCUUAAUGGGUACUCGUUAAUAUCUGUUUAAUUUGAUAUCACCGUAAUAUAGAAAUGAGAUUGGUAGUAGUGAUAAUGGUGUAAUGUGAAAUCAUAACAAAUGAAUAAUGGUUCAUGAAUAAAAAAAUCAUAAACAAAUGAAUACGUAACAAAAUGUAUGUAUAUAUAGAACAAGAUUACUGUUUUAUCCGACGGUGGAGGAUGAGGUUGCACAUGUUAGGGUCAGAGAAAUUAUACAAAACUAAGGAAGUUUGGGAAGCUUUAUGUUUC
rnacentral:lncRNA from 1 species